UUCUUUUAAGAAUUUAUUAUAAUUAUUAUUAUGUCUAAAGUUCUAGACUUUCUUUAUUUAUCAUUCUUAAAAAAUUAAUAUUAAAAAUAUUAUUUUAAAAUUUUAAAGUCUUUUAAAUAUAUACAUAAAGUUAAAUUUUGUUAGUGAAACUGUCAGGACCAGUCAUUAUCUCUGUAAAAUUAUUAUUUUACUUUUUCAAAUAUAUUUUUUUUAUCGUUACCAAUUUUUUUUAUUUGCUCGUAAGUUAGGGACAAAAGAAGUAUUUUGAUAUUUUCUUGUCUAAAUAUAUCAUUCUACUAUUACCAAUAUUUAUUAUUUACUUUAAGUUAUAGGUAAAAUAAUAUUUCAUUAUUUUUUAACUAUGGUAUAAAUUUAAUUCGGGUUUGGUCCAAGAUGACUUAACGGAUACUAAAAGUAAAAAUAUUUUGUAAAAAUAUUUUUGAAUAACGAUAAAAUAUAUGAGGGAUAUAUUUAAAACAAAAAGGUAAAAACAAAUGAGAUAUUCUAAAAAUUUUAAGGAAUAUAAAGAUAAUUAAUUUUAUAAAUUAUACCACUCAUUCAUCAAUUAAACUUCGCUUCAUUGGUAUGUUCCUAAAUAUUGUAAACUUUGUAUAUGUGCGAGCGUAGCGUUACUCAGUUUUAUCUGUUUUAUUAUGAUAGGAGAAAAGAUGACAUGGUGUUAACCAAAAUUAGUGCUAAUUGGGCCGACCUUUUGACUUUAGCUUCAGUUAUAAUUAAUUUUAAUCGAGUAUGUAAUAUAUAUAUAUAUAGAGAGAGAGAGAGGGAGAGAGAGAGGAGUAGAGCGCGCUAAUAUACUAUCAGAAAUAUAGAGGAUCUGGUGCUUCCGAUUUUUUAGCCCUUAGAUCAACCCCUUUGAUCAUUUCUAAUAUUUGAAUUAAUACUAUUAUCCUGUGGGGAUUACUUAACCUUAGGAAUACUACUCAACUCUAGAGGAACCGCAAUCAUCCUAAUUGUAUAAUUUUUAAUCCAAUGGUCAAAAAAUUGGAAACAUCAGAUCUUCUAUACAUCCGAUAGCAUAGUAGUUCUACACGAGAGAGAGAGAGAGAGAGAGUUGGGUUUGAAUACUAUUAAUAGUAUUUGCCCUUUUUGUUAUCAAAUUUUUAACUAUUGUAUCAAUUCCUUUAAUCAUUUCUAACAAUUGGAUUAAAUAUUAUAAUUCAGUGGGGACCACUCAAUCCUAGGGAAACCACUCAACCGUAAGGGACUAGUAUCAUUCUAACUCUACAAUUUCUCGUCCAAUAAUUAAAAACUUGAUAGUAAAAGGCCAUAAGAAUGCGGAUUAUCGAAAGGAAGAUCAUUAAAAAUAGAACCGUAAAUAAUGGUUAACUAGUCGAUUUUUGGUAGGUGGAAGUGUAAGAAAAGCUUUUCCGAUUACGAGUCUUUUGAAAAAUACAGCAAUUAGAGCACCUCGUUGAGAUGUUCAUUAAUCAAAUGAUCCAAACUUUGAACUACUGGAUCUGUUAAUAUUAAGGCGACUUUGUUAAUAAUAGGACUCUCUGAAUAAUUAGAUUAAAAAUGGUAGCGAGUACAAGCUAUAGAAUAAAACAAAUCCAAUAACCAAUUAUACGUGAUAAGCCACAGUUAAUUAAUUAAAACAGAGGUAAUAAAAGUAGGGCCCAUGAACACGAGGGCGGCGGGAAACACACACCGCGACAAUGCACAUGAGUCUCAAUUUGAACAACUCUUCUUUGUUCUAAAGUUCCUAAUAAAAUAAAUACACUCUCGUGAUAAUACACUUUGGCUUUGUUAUUUGUUUUUGGCAUACUAUUAUGCUAGUGUUACCUCGCAAGUAAACUCUUUUUUGGAAAUGGUCAAAAUUUUGAACAUGUCCUUUUUAGCAAAAGACCAAAAAAAGAGGGUGCAUUAAAAUUACUUACUGAGUGGAUUUUAGAUCUAGUCAAGGUUAAAGAAAGGGCCAAAAAAAAAAAAAAAGUUAUUGUUACGAUUUUGUCUACUACAUCACUCAAGAACAUUUCAAAUCAUAUAAAACUUAAAAUUAAAAAUCUAAUCUACGAAUUUUCCUAUAACAUCAUAAAAGCUUUUUUUGAAGAAACAACAUUUAAGAACAUAAAGAACUUCAAAAAAAAAAAAAAAAAAAAAAAAAAAAANAAAAAACUGUUUAUGGAUCUUGUUGUGUUGUACAUUAUUUCAACGUGGUUGAUAAAUAGUAAGAGGACGUGAUCGAUCUCUACCCAAACUGAGGAAGCAACAUAGACUAGAAGAUGAAAAAUCAGCAAAAAAUUGUAGGGUUGAAAAGGGGUUGAUUGAAAUAAAAAUUAUUAAUAUUCAUUAAUUAGUGUAGUGUUUAUAAUAUGAAGUUGAAUGGAACCAUUCUCACUGCUUAGAAUUAGAUUGUACGUAAUUUGAAAAUUAGAACCUUAUUAAUUAAUUAAGUCAAACAAAUGCACAAAAAUGUCUUGUUGUAUGUGACACUUGGUUCCCUACUUUUUAGCUUAGUCCAAAAGUUGGACUAUGGCAAUUGGCCUUCAUAAAUUGAUCUGAUCUUUUUUCUUCUAUCUCCGAUACUAAAAUUAUCUAGUUAUUUUCAUAGAAAUUAUGAAAAAUGAAGAACUAAAUAUGAUUUAUCGAUCAACAAUAUUUGAGAGAAUCUUAUAAUAUUAUGAUAUACAUGUUGCAAUACUAGCUUUGUCAAUGAUAAUUUGAUGUUAUUUUUACCGGCAAACACUUAUUCUAAAUCUCUCUAAUUUCUUUUUUUUCCUUUUUCAAUACAAGAAACUUCCAACUAAUUAAUUAAACUCCAGAGCUUACAAUAAAAAAAGACAUGGUUAAACUCUGAGUAUUUUAUGCCUUUUGUUAUAAAACAUUUAUCGGAUUUGUGUUUUUGUCAAAAUAAGCCAUCAUUUUAGAUUUUAUAGAUUCAUCCUAGUUUUUAAUAAACUGACCAAAAUACUCUUUUUCUUUUCUCUCUUCUUUUUUUCCAGCCAUUUGUUUUUCUGUUUUCGUUCCUGAUUCAUCUUUCUCCUUCCCAUUUUUUCCUUUUCUCCAACUUUCACUCUUUCUCUUCCUCCUCCAUUGCCCCCCAUAUUGACGUCACGCUCCGCUCUCUUAUCUCGCCUACACCUCCGCCGACGCCGGCUCUGAUACGGCAUAGAUUGUAGAGAUGAGGCUGUGGCGGAGUGCAUUGCUGCGGACCGCGAUGGCGACGAGGGUGCCACAAAAUUCGAGGACGACAGGAAAGGAAAGCGUGUCAUGUAGUGGCAAUAGACGGGAGAGCGGAUAGAAAAUAAAAAAUAAAAAAUAUUUUUUCCUCAAAAGAUCAUUAUUUAUCGUGGCCGCUACAAAAAAAAUAAAAAAGUAAAGAAGAAAGAAGAAAAAGACGGAGUUGCACUGUUUUAGAUAAAAGUUAUACUCUUUGACGAAAAUUAUACUGUUUGAGAUAAUAAUUAUACUGUUUGAAACAAAAGUUAUAAUUUUUGACACAAAAGUUGGGUUAGCAGAAGUUGAAGCAAAAGUUGUAGAUGCCUACGAUGAUCUAAUUCAUGUUUACCUUUGAGUCAUUUUUUAAGGGUAAGAUAAAUUGUCUAUCACAAAAAUGCAUUAUUGUUGGCUAUUUAUUAUUGAGCUAAAAUAAGCCCAAUUUGCUUCCUCGUGAUAAUAGGCCAGAGACUAAAAAAUUGAAUUGGAUGAGGCUAAUAAAUUGAGUAGGACUGUAGUCCACAAAAGGCUUAACAGUAUGAGACCCAACAAUAGAACUAACUUUCAAGUGGAUUGAAGAAGGUCAAAGCCCGUAAACGCCGUGGUUGAAUUCUUAAAUCUGAUUGAUGCGCCUUUCUUAUUAGCAAGUAAUUUUGGAAUAAUUAGUUAGCACUUACGAUCUACAAUUAUUACUUAUUUUUAACUAAAACCCUUAGAUGGUAGGGUGCUUUUCAAGUGGUCUUUCUCAAAUUUGAGGAUAUAUUAUAAUCUAAGAUCUCCAAGUUUCUCAACCUUUUUUUUUUUUUUUUCAAAGCAAUAGAUCACAUCCAAAAAUCUCAUUUCUGAGCCCUAAUAUGUUUUUUUUUAGAGAUAGGAAACACGCUACCCACUUCGUUUAUUUCAUUUAGAAAUAAACUUAGCUGAAAAUGUGAAUCAAUUAGAAUUCAAACUUGGAACCUCGGGUAUCAACCACCAAACCUUUUGCUACUUGCUAUAGAGAUGGUCGGUUUCUCAACCUAAUUUAAUAUGGCCUUUUAGUUCACUUGUGUAUUUUGGUUGAUGAUAGUGUACCUUUAAUUUCCAAGAGAUUACCAUAGGCGACUCACCAUUGAUUUGGAUGGAUAAUUGCGACGAAGAUCAAAUAAACUUAUGAUUAGUUCCCAGUAACUAUUACAAAUUUGUUCUAGUUUAAUUUAUAUUAGGGCAAAUUGCACGUUUGGUCCUCAAAUUAUGAGGCAGGCGACACUUUGGUUUUCAAAGUUUACCUUAUUAAAAUUUUUAAUACAAACUUUCAAAAUUAUUCUAAUCAAGUUAUUCUACUCAAUUCAGUAGGUAACUAAAAAAUGUAUAUGGCUAGUUGAUAUAAAAGUGAUAUAACAUCUUAAUUAUUAGCGUAUCAUCAAUCACAGAACAAUUCCAUCGCUUUUAUAUUAACGAUACGUUAAUAUUUAAUCAACUAAAGCAAAUUGAUAGGACUUGAUCAUUGCAAAAAUUAUGAAAAUCUAAAUCAUAAAUUAGAAUAAAUUAAAAUUUGAAUACUAAAAUAUUACACGCCUCAUAGUUUAAGGAUCAAACAUGCCAUUCACCCUUUAUUACAAGUUUACAACACAUCCAGCGAUUGAAAAGCACAUAUGCAACUAGCCUGCAAUGGCCUAGAUUGGAAAUACUUCCCUAAACCAAACAAUUAUUAUUCCUUUUUCUUCUUUUUUUUUUCGGGUUAUGUUUGCACCAGAAACCAGGGGCAUCAAACUCGCAACCUUUGAAAGCGCGAGGACUUACGCGAACUUCAUCAAUUCAUCAUGUAAGGUCGCCGAGUGCUGCUCUUCGACGCAGGACAUCACCAGCCUCACACCCUCUUUCGGCACCGGCGGUUUGAUGAAUGCGGCCCUGCCGAAAACAUUGAAGUCGGAACUAGCAACGCACGGAAAGACGUAGCUCGGCGACCCCCACCCGUAGUCGACCUCAUAGUACCCCAGCCGAGUCCAAUCCGAAACGAGCAGCAUUCGAUAGUCCGGCAGGGCGCGCGAAUUCGACAUUACUUCUCCUUUUAACCACGCGAGAAUCCGUCGGACACGGUUUGUUUAGCUUGUCGAAUUACCCCAACUAGCGCGACAAGCGACCCAUUCGCCACUUGCUUGCUCGGUAAGGUGAUCCCUACGGGAUACACGCAGUUCCCGUAGUAGCCGCCGUCGAUCGAGAGAAGCUCGUUCAGGCGGUGGCGAGCAUUCGCCAUGUAGUAAAGGCAGACGUCGGCGUCGGGCUCAACGUUGAUGGCCCGCGUGCGCGACUGCCACAGCAUGGCCGUGACGACAUCGAAGGUAGAACAAAUUUGGCCUGUCUCGGCCGCGACUCGGUCCUUGACUCGGUUGAUGCUGGGGAGGGAAACGUCGAAUUCGGCAGAUUUGAAUCUGUAGAAGGUGUAUUGUAUCUCGGGCCCUGCUGGGCCUUGGGCCGAGGUAGUGGGCUUGGGAGGGCUCGGAACAGAUUCUCGGCGCCAGGUUGCGGUGACCGUCGGCUCGGCGAGACCUCUCGUCAGCUCGGCCACGGCGUUCAGGAACUGGGCAGAGCCGACACCGUCGAAGACUGUGUGGUUGUAAGUGAUGCAGACGGUGAAACCGCCGCAUGUGAAUUUUGUCACCUGAAGAAUUAUGUUCAUGCAGUAACUAUCUAGAAAUUUACCAACCGUUUUUAGAGUAUGUGACAAAGAAUUUAGUGGUUGGUAUCCGAGGUCUCAAGUUCGAAUCACAGUUGAUUCACAUUUUCAGUUAAGUUUAUUUCUAAAUGAAAUAAACGAAGCGGGUAGCAUGCUACCUAUCUCUCUCAAAAAAAAAAAAAAAAAACUAUCUAGAAAUUUGAUGAAAUAGAGUCCUUAACUUUAUUUUAUUUUAUUUUAUGGUGGGAACUCUAUUAAAUUUUAAUUUUUGUAUUUGGUUUCAUUAAGUUUAAUAUUUUUCUUAAUUAUUAGCCAUUUUUAAUUUAAUUUUAUUUGCCAAAAAAUUAAAGCCAAUAUAUUUGGUAUAUCAUCAAUAAUUUUUAAAAUUUUUAGACCGUUGGGAAAUUUGAUAUUCACUCUGACGAGUUUACAGUCUAAAAACUCUGAUAUCAAAUUUUUAUAUUUAUAAAAAUUAUAAUUAUUUAUGAUUAUAGCAUAAAUAUAAAAAAAUUAAUUUAAUUAUUCUGAAUUCUAAAUGUGAACGUAAAAUUUUCGUAUAAAUCGCGUAUACGAAUUAUUGACAAAUCUACUUUAUAAAUCAUAUUUUUUUUACGAAUUUAAAAAUUAAAAUACGAAUUUUAUUUAUAUUUUAUUCAUAUCAAAUUUUUACCGUAUUCUAACGUACUUGGCUCGUUGACCCUCCUACAUCAUAGCACCAGCUCUCACAUGCAUAUAUCUAUAUAUACUCACCUAUUACGUAUCCAAUCGUGAUAUAAUUAAGAAUUCUACUCUAAUUUAUACUUAAUAAAUUUAAAAUACUUAUUCUAAUCUAAUAAAGAUUCAACUAUAAUCUAAUCAAAAUAUCAACAUAAACCAAAAUUACUUAAUUACAGAAAAUCAAAGGAAAAAAAAAAAAAAGUCUCAUUCCAGAAAAAAACAAAAAAGUGAGGUGUCUUACCAAAAUAUCCUAUAAUGGAUGUAGUACCACCUUAUAUUGACAGUUUUGUCCUUUAUAAACAGUAAGGACCGCAAUUCUUAUUUAUUAGAACAGUAUGUUUGAUCUAUAAAGUAAUUUAUUUUAUUUAAAAAAUAAAUUUGAAGAUUAGUAGUAUUUAAUUUUAAGAGAUUAUUGCCUAUAUAUUCUUCAAAAUUUUGGAAAUAUUUUUAUAUAUCCUUCUUCUUUUUUUUUCUUUUCAAUAUAACUCUCAUAUAUUCCUCCAUUAUUUCAAAAUACUCAUACAGUUACCAUCCGUAAAGUUAACUUGGGUUAAAUAUGAGUUAAAUAUCUAACACAGUUAAAAAAAAAUUAAAAUACUACUUUUGCCCUUAACUUAAGGGCAAAUAAGAAAUGUUGUUGAUAAUAAAAGAGUAUAUUUGAAAAGACCAAAAAAUAAAAAACUUUUUGUGCUCCUAACUUAAGGGCAAAUAAGAAAAAUCGGUGAUAAUAAAAGGUAUAUUUGAAAGUGCAAAAUAGUGAUUUUAUAGAAAUAUUAUAGUUCAUUAACAGAUUUUAAUCCUUGGAACAUAAGAAAGGCAUUUUCAAUAUUAGCAUUCUAAGAAGGGUAAAUAAGAAAAUCGAAAAUUUUUCAAAAAUAUAUAAGCAAUUGUCCCUAAUUUUAAAUAUUUGACCACACUCUUUAUAUACCAAAUAUAUCAAUAUUUUAAACAAACCAUAGCUAAAUAGAACUUUCAAUUUAAAAAAAAUCAAAUAUUAACUAACUAGAAUUAUUUAAAUUAGAAUAAAAAAUCAUAGGCUAAAGAAGUUCUAAUAAAAAAAUGAAGUUCAGGUGGCUUUUUUUACUUAAAAUUACUUUUAUUUGAUGGAUCUCUCUGUAAUUUUACCUUCUUCGGUACUAUUAAUGGCUAAUUAAUGAUGGCAUUAAAACUAGUGUCUACUCAGUUCCGAGUUUUUCUUUUUUUACUUUGUUAUUUUUUUCUUUUAUCCUUUGCGUUGGAACAGUCCAAUUAUCUUGCUAUUUCGUUAAUAGCCUUUGGAUUGGGGAGCUCAUAAUAACAAAACUAGUAUUACUUAAAAACUUUACAAUUUUUUUUUAUUUUAAAAAAUAGAUAGUAUGCUAUUCACUUCAUUUAUUUUAUUUAAAAAUAAAUUUAAUGAAAAAUAUGAACCAAUUAGGAUUCGAACUUGGAAUUCAAAUACCAACGACCAAACUCUACAAAUUUAUAUUGAUAAUAAUAACGACUCUUUAGAAGCCAAAAUAAAAUACUCAUAAAUUUUAUUUUUCGCCCCUUUCAGAGAUCUGAGUUGUCUCACCCAUAUAGCUAAAUUUACUUUUUUAUUGAAUGAAGCGGAUACCAUGCCCUCUUUUUCUUAAAAUAAUAAUAAUAAUAAUAAUAAGAAUAAUAUAAUUUAUGCUGCUAAUAGGUGUGUACAUACCUGCGCCAUGAAGAUGACGUUCUCGUGGUUGAGCUCCGGCGGAGGCCGCGCCGCGAGAACGGCGUGCAGUUUCGAAUCCCAAUCGCCGAAGCCGUCGAGGCUGCAUUCGGCGGAGGCCUCGACGAACCACACGCCGUCACCGUCGCCGUCGCCGGAGCACUCGAUCUCCAGCUCGCCCCCGGCGGGCUCGACAAUCCGUCCGGCGACCGGGUAGUAGUGCACGAGCGCCCUCGACAGCCCUUCACUUAUGGCCUUCGCCGGAUCUUCGCCGCCGCCGCCGCCGCCGCCGCGCCGGAAGACGAAGACGAUAUCUCCGGAGAACCGCAGCCCCGGCAGGCGGUCGAGGAAGGAGAGCUGGAGGCUCCCUCGCGGCGUCGGCUCGCAGGCGCGGACCAGAAUCGCCGGCUCUUUCGUGAUCGUGCAGUGGCCCGCCAUGCUCCUCACUCAGAUCUCCAAGUAAUGGAGCGUGCCUAGCCACUUAGUUUAGUGCCUUAUUUUUCUUCAUCCAUGCUGGCUUGUACGGACAACAUACUAUUUUACCCACUAUCCUUUUUAUCCCAUCUACUCCAGCUAAAUAUUAUUUUUUUUAAUACUGGACUAACUCCAACCCCCAAUCUAACACAAAAAAUAUUCUAACCCUAUCUUAACCCUGAACUUAACCCUAUUCCUGAAAUAACAAAUUUUUUCUUAAUCCGAAAACAAACGGUAGCUAAACAUACAAAUCUAUCACCCAUAUCUCUCUAAACAUAUAAAAUUACUAGCAAUAUUUCUAAAUCUUAAACCUUUCUAUUACCAAUACCUUUUAAAUUCCAUGUCCUCUUAUAUAUACAAAAGCACUAAUGAUAUUCUCUAAUUUAGAGAGUCAUCUACAAAAUUACAAUUUUCGAAAGGGUGUGGAAGAAAUUAAUCUAUAAAAAUAAGACAUUCAAUCUUUUAUUUAAAAAUUGUGCUUUAAAAUAAUCUACUUUUCAAAUUAUGUAAAACUAAAUAUAUCAUGCAUCACAUGUCCACUUUAACUAAGUUUAUACUAUAUAUAAAAAUAUGUAUUCAAAUUUGAAUCUUUGAUGGGCCCAUUUGUACAGAGAAAUAAAAAAAUAAUUAUUGUGAUAUUAUGAUAAAAAAAAUUUAAAAAUAAUAACUGGGGAUCAUGAAACCCCAAAGUUCGCGACAGCUCUUAUGCCGAAUCCCCAAAAUGGCGACCAUUCUUUACUUAGUAUUUUCAAACCUUCUAAUUUACCUUAUUAUUUAGGUUGCGUUUGGUUCGGGUAUAAAUAAGAACUAUUUAUUUCAGAAAUAGAUAUAAGUUCAGAUAUAAGCAGAAAUUAGACAAAUUUUAUGUUUGGAUAAAAAUUGAGUUGUUCGUAAGAAUAAAAUAAAUAAUGUUUGAAUUGUUAGAUUAGAAUAAAAAAAAAUAAAAAUUAUAUUUUAAAUUAAAAGUAUUUUAUUUAAUUAAUUAAUAUCAAAAUAUUACUUAAAAAUAAUAAAUUAAUAUUAGUCAUUAUAAUUGAACUCCAAAACACAAGUUGGCCGAAUCUCAUAGUACUUAGGCAACAGUUGAACAUGUAGAAAAAUUAAAUGAUUCUUCUAGUUAUAAUAGAAAAGUUUACACACUGAUAAUGAGCCCAUUUGCAUGCUUAAAUACAUGCAUAGUAAUUUGAGGAUUUACAACUUGGUACCACAGAGUUGGUAAACGAGACCAUCAAAUUUUAAAAAUAAAUGUGACUUGCCUUGUACAUGCGUUUUAACUAGUGUGUGCGAUGUAUAUUCUAAAUACAAAAAUAUAAAAAAUCUUUUCCAGAUUUGGGGCAGGGCGUACAUUUGACACGGGAUAGCUUGGUGGCAAGGCCUAAUGCGCACUCGAAGAGGGCUAGGCUCAACGAACUGGUAGCUGACUGGUGGGUUAUAUGAGAAAUCAGGAAUGCAGUAAUCUUUCGACAGAUACAGAUGAACCCUAAUUUAGCUGUGACUAAGAUUAUACAGUUGUACAAUCUGUGGGAGUGGUCCUUCGCUGCCACAUAGCCGUCUUGUGGGAGUGGUCCUUCGCUGCCACAUAAUAAAAUUAUACACAAUAGUAACGGAACACCAAAGUACAGUGUAGUAAUGUAUAUAAAUAAAUAUAAUUAAUCCUAAUAAAAAAUAGAAAAUGAUCUAUUUAUUCCUAACAAUAGCUAACUAUCAUAUAAUCUAUAACUUUUUGGGUUUAAUUUAUGUCAUUUAGAAUAUCUUUUUUAUUUAGCACAGACACAAUGUAGUAUAAAUAAAACUAAACAAAUAAAAUCAAAGUAUUCUGGAAUAACAAAGUAAACUAUAUAUUAAAAAAAAAAUCUUCGAAACUAAAAAACUGCUGAACAAAAUAUAAAAAACAUAAAAUUUCUUAAAAUGAAUCUAAUUAAAACUAUCUAAUUCUGGCCUCCAAAACCAAACAAAUAAAAUGAGAGUACACUAAAUAAAUGAAAUAAAAAAGAGGCAUAUUAAAAUAGUAAAAAAAAUUGAUAUCAAAAUAGUUAAAGAAAAUUAGAAAAUACUAAUUAUUAAUGCAUAUUAUCUGGAUCGUAACUUAUAUAUACUACAACAAUAAUUGAAGGGUAGGAGAGGUAAAAGAGGUAUUUUAAUUAGCCAUAUUUUGGACAAAUUAUUAGUAAUAUAGGCAGUUUUGAUGAGUUUUAAAAUUUGAAGGAUAUUUUGUAUAUUGACAAUUUUUGAAAAAAAUUUAUGUAAUUAAGAGUGCAUGUAAAAGCCUGAUAAAAUUAACCCUAUUAAUUAGAUAUUAUAGCAAGUGUCUAACUAAUGAAGUUACAAAAUAAGAAAAAUUUGGAUUUAAUUCUACUAUGAUAUUACUUAAAAACUAAACCGGUAAAACAUGACACAGAAAUGUAGAUAAUAUAUCAAAAAAAAAAUGACACAGAGAAACGAAAAUAAAUAGAGUAUAAUUUAUCAUUAUAAAAAAAAUGACAACCUAAUAAUUUUGUAUCGGAUAAUAUGGUAAAAUAUGAGAAUUUUAUAUACGAUAGAUCGAGACGCUAGAAUUAAUAAUUGAGCAUAAGCAAUUUAGUAAAAUUGUGCUUUUUUGUCGAUGAUAGUGUACCUUUAAUUUCGAGGAGAUUUAACAAAGGCUACUCAUCAUUUAAUAUAUUCGGAUAGAUGGAUGGAUAAUUGCAACGCAGAUCAAAUAAAAUUAAAGAUUGGUUCCCACUGAUGAUCACAAAUUUGUUCCAGUUUAUUUUAUUUUACGACACAUCCAGGCAUAGCUAAGCACGCAUUCAGCUAGUUUUUUUCUUCUUUUUUUUUUUGUUUUGUUAUUUUAUUCUAGAAACUCGAUCGAUAAAUUUCGACAUGCGGGAAUCAACCUCGCAACCUUUGAAAGUGCGAGGACUUAGGCGAACUUCAUCAAUUCAUCAUGCAAGGCCGCCGAGUGCUGCUCUUCGACGCAGUGCAUCACCAACCUGAUGCCCUGUUUCGGCAUGGGCAGCUUGAGGAAGGCGCACGAACACACAACAUUGAACUCGGAACUACAACCGCACGGGUAGACGAAGCUUGGCUCUCCCCACCCGAAGUCGAUCUCACAGUACCCCAGCCGAUUCCAAUCCGUAACGGUCAACAUUCGGUAGUCCUGCAGGGCGUGUAAAUUCGUCGCUCCGUCUCCAUUCAUCCAACGCGAGAAUCCGUCCGACACGGUUCGCUUAGCUUCUCGAAUUAGCCCGACUAACACGACGAGCGACGCAUUCGCGACUUGCUUGCUCGGUAAGGUGAUCCCUGCGGUAUACACGCAGUUCCCGUAGUAGCCGCCUUCGAUCGAAAGGAGCUCGUGUAGAACGUGGCGAGCAUUCGCCAUGAAGGAGAGGCCGACGUCGGCGUCGGGGUCGAGGUUGAUCGCCCGUGUGCGCGACUGCCACACUACGGCCGUGACCACGUCGAAGGUGGAACAACUUUGGCCAGUCUCGGCGGUGACUCGGUCCUUGACUUGCUUGACGCUUUGGAGGGAAAUGUCGAAUUCGGCAAGUUUGAAACUGUCGAAGGUGAAUUGAAUCUUGGGCCCCUCCGGCCCUUGGGCUGAAGUGGUGGGCCGGGGUGGGCUCGGAAUGAGUUCUCGGCACCAGGUGGGGCUGACGGUUGGCUCGGCGAGACCUCUCGUCAGCUCGGCCACGGCGUUCAGGAAUUGGGCGGAGCCGGCGCCGUCGAAGACCGUGUGGUUGUAAGUAAUGCCGACUGUGAAGCCGCCGCACUUGAAUUCUGUCACCUGAGGAGUUGUCGGAAAGUCGUCGGUAGAGAAAAAUACUUUUGCGAAUGAAAAUGCUCUUCAUUGUCAAAAAAAAUUAUGUGAAAAUGCUCGCGACGAUCAGAUAACGAUCACUGAUUGACGAAAAGAAUUCGCAUCUCACCGUUGAAAGCCUUCCUCUACAAUUUUUGUUUUUCCUAUUAACUCCACUAUAUGAGCAAACUAGUACAAAAAUCAAAGCCCACAAGAACAGUGUCUUGGAGAGGGGCAUAAUACUAUACUUUCAGGCUUCCUUUCGUUCGGAUAUAAAUAAAAAUUACUUAUUUUAAAAAUAAAUACAAAUUUAGAUAUAAGUAAGAAAUAGACGAAUUUAGUAUUUGAAUAAAAAUUAAGUUGUUCCCGAAAACAAGAAAAUUAGUGUUUAAAUAAUUAAGAUGGAAUAAGAAGAAUAUUAGAUGGUUAUAAAUAGAAAAUAAUAAUUUUACUCCUCUCAUUAUAUUUAAAUUUAAAUUUUAAAAUUCUACAUUUAUAAUUUUAAAUUUUAAAUUUUAAAUAUUAAAAUUUAAAAUUUAUAAUCUCAAAUUUUAAAUUUUAUAAUUUUAUAAUUUAAAUUUCAAAUUUUAAAUUUAAGACCAAUUUUAAAAUUUAAAAAUAUAAAUUAUCAAAUUUUAAAUUUUAAAAAUUUAAAAUAUCAAAUUUGAAAUUUUAAAAUUUAAAUUAUAAAUUUUAAUUUUGAUAUUAUAAAUUUUUAAUUUUAAAAAUUUAAGUUCUAAUUUAAAACAAAAAUCUCUCUCACGAUGAGGGGAACAAGAGGUGGGCUUGUUCCCACCCCUGCGUGGGAACUAUUAAUUCCCACCAUAGAGGAUUAUCCCACCCACCCUAUUUACUGUUUGGGUAUAAAAGGAGAUAAGGCCAUAUCCCUCUCUUGUAUCCAAUCCAAGGUAUAGUUUGGUUCGGAUAGAAGGAACAACUGACUAUUCCAAAAAUAGGUACAAGUUCAGGUAUAAAUAAGAAUUACAUUAAUUUUACAUUUGGAUAAAAAUUAGUUGUUUUCAGGAAUAAGAAAAAUAGUUCUUGAUUAGAUAAAAUAGAAUAAAAAGAAUAUUGGGUGGUUAUAAAUAGAAAAUUGAUAUUAUUCCUUUUGUCAUAUUUAAAUUUAAAUUUUUAAUUUUUAAUUUUAUUUUUAAAUUUAUAAUUUUAAUUUUAAAUUUCAAAUUUUAAAAUUAAACUCUUUUUAAAGUUUAAAAUUUUAUGUUUGAAAUUUAAAUUUUAAAAUAUAAAUAUCAAAAUUUAAAUUUAAAAAUAUAAAAUAUCAAUUUUAAAUUUUAAAUUUUAAAUUUUAAACUUUAAUUUUGAAAUUAUAAAUUAUUAAUUUUUAAAAUUAAAAUUAGAAUUUUUAAAUUUAAUUUUUUUAAAAAAAUAAUAGGAAUGAAAACAAGUUCCCACCCCUAUUCCACCUAAGUGUGGAAACAAAUUAUUACCAUCCUUCGUUGGUUAUCCCACCCUGAGAAAGUCAGAUAUAGUGUUUGGAGAACAAAGGAAUAACCCCUUAUCUCCUUUGUAUUUUUUUUGAAAAUUAGGUAGCAAGCUACCUGCUUCAUUCACUAGGAAAAUGAAUUAGGCUUAUAUAAUGAAAGCAGCCAGAGCCUCCGAGCAAAAAGGGCAAGAUAAAAACAAAAGAUGGACAAAAACAACAACAACAAAAGAAACAAAGACAGAAAAAAGCGAAAAAGACGAAGCACAGGAGAAAUGAGAAAGGAAGAGCUACCACUACUGCUAUAGCUGCUACAACCACCGCUACCAAAAGCUACUAAAACUACUGCGGCUGCUACGUUUUUCAAUCAGCCAUCAGCAGAUUGAUACGGUCUAAAGCUUGGGAAGGAUUAAUUUGCUUAGCACGAAAGAGAAUAUCAUUCCUCUCGGUCCAAACCACCCACCAGACGGCGGAUAGUAGAGACAGUACUUGUGCUCUUUUUUGUGCGCCAGCAAGGUUACAACCUUUUGACCAGAGUUCUCUGACAUCCGUCGAGGGUUCGAGCAAUAAGUUCGGUCCGUCCACUCGGUUCUAAUUUGUUUGGUUGAGUAACAAGGUUACAACCUUUGUUACUCAACCAAACAAACGAGACUUAGAAGGUGAAACUUGCCGCAUGGCAUGUUCAAAUUAAUCGGUUCUAAUUUAAUUUAACCUGCUUCACAUAAAAUGUAAAUUAAAAUUUAUCCUGAUAAGUUAACAAUAGGAAUAAAUUAUAUAUUUCCUAUUAAAACAUAUUUAAUAAACUAAAAUUAAACUCAAAUUCUAGUAUAAUUCUACUUAACCUCUUAAAAACAUGUACCUGCAUCAUGAAGAUGACGUUCUCCAUAUUCACCUCCGGCGGAGGCCGCGCCACGAGCCCCGCCGCGAAAAUCAGGCGCAGGAUCAAAUCCCAAUCGCCGAAGCCGUCGAGGCGGCCUUCGGCGGAGGCCUCGACGAACCACACGCCGUCGCCGUCGCCGGAGCACUCGAUCGCCAGCUCGCCGCCGGCGGGCUCGGCGAUCCGUCCGGCGACCGGGUAGUAGUGCACGAGCGCCCGCGACAGCCCUUCCCUUAUAGUCUUCGCCGGAUCUUCCCCGCCGCCGCGCCGGAAGACCAGGAGGACGUCCAAGGACAGCCGAAUCUCUGGCCGGCGGUCGAGGAAGGACAGCCGGUGGCUCCCCCGCGGCGUCGCCUCGCAGGCACGGACCAGAAUCGGCGGCUUUUUGGUGAUCGUGCAGCUGUUGGCCAUGCUUACUGAUCAGAUCUCCAAGUAAUGCAGAGUGCUGCUUAAUUAGUUUAGUGCCCCAGCUUUCUUCAUUCAAUCAUGCUCUCUUCUAUAUAUGCGCACGCGCGCACACACAGAGUUGAACUAAAAUACGCCUAAAAGCACCAACUCAUUUGUACUUUUAAAUUUCUAGCAUUUAGAUCUACUCUUUAAUAAUUAGUAAUUUUUGAAUCAAACAUUAUCCUAGCUAUCACCAUCUACCCCUAUUAUACUAAUUCUACAUCAUCUCCAUCCAAGAGCUACAAGCAUACCAGCUCACUCUAUAUAUAUAUAUAUAUAUAUAAGUCUUAAAGACGAUUAUGUAAAAAUCCAAAUGUCAUAAACAAUUCUUAAGUUUGCUUUGCAUUAAUGUAAUUAAUUUUUUUUGCACCCUUGUGGUAGGUUCAAUAUACCAUAGGUUUAUAAAUAUAUAUAGAGUCUUAAGUCAUAUCCAAAUCCCAAACUUUAAGAAUAUUAUACUCUUCUUUUUUUCUUUUUUUUUUUUUGAGAGAGAGAGAUAGAAAGCAUGUUACUCGCUUCGUUUAUUUUAUAUAAAAAUAAACUUAGUAAGAAAUGUGAAUCAACUAGAAUUCGAACUUGGAUCUUAAAUGCCAACCACUAAGCUCUUUGUCACUUGCUCUAGAGAUGGUCAAUUAUAUAUAUUUUGUUUUUCUAAGUAAUAUAAUUUUUCAUUUCCUCCAAAACAUAUAUCUCAUAUUUGCACUUAGCUAGCCUUCGAGGGCAAGUAGAUAAACGUUAGCAAAAUGGAGACAAAUUUAUUCAGCUUCGAACAGAAAGACAAGUGCCGCAUAAAUUUUGACGAGUAAAAUCAUCCGUGAGUCUUUAAUGAGCCGCAGUUGUUAUGGGUAAGAUUGAUUACAGCAUUAUAUUAUACCAAAAGAAGACCGUUACAUGAGGGUAGAGCGUUCAGACCUUUCUCCCAAUGGUGGAGAAGUGUGAUGAGAUGUCGAGAAGUGUUUAAAUAUGGAGUUUCGUAUGUACUGGGUGAUGGGAAAAACAUUAGGUUGUGGACUGACAGAUGGACCGGAGAAAUCCCUCUCAGUACUCGGUUUCCAAGUCUCUUCAGCAGAAUAACUAAUGACGAGGUAACAGUCUCACAAUGUUGGAAUGAAAAAGGGUGGAGAUGGCGGUUCAUUGCCAGAGGUUUUGGGACUGUUAGAGCCAACAGGAGACGUCAACAAUUUUUGCCGCUAAAAAAUUGGCUAUCUCAGUACAGCCCAACUUAUUCAUCGAAUAUUCUUAAGUGGCGAUGGACCUCCAACCAAAUAUUUACGGUUAAGUCGCUAUACGAUUUUAUAACAGAUGCAGGCCAGAGGGUCUAUAUGUACGAUUACCUUUGGGGUUUAAAAAUGCCGACCAAAAUUAAAAUCUUCAUUUGGAUCUUGCUUCGCAAGAGAUUACUUACAAAGGACAGAUUGAUUAGUCGAGGGUGCCACGUAGACCAACAGUGCAUUUAUUGUGUGGUGUUCACAGAAAGCUGCGACCACCUUUUCGGCCUCUGUGUAUUCGUCAAAUUUAUUACACUGUGCGAGGGAGGCACUGACACAAGCAAACUGGACGCGGGGGAUGUACGGCGAUUAUGGAUAGAAACAUCUAGCAUCCCCAAUGUUGCAACGAGAUCCAAGAGUCUAACCCGCUUGGCGGCAAUCUGGUGGGUCAUAUGGACUGAACGCAAUAAUACAAUUUUCCGUGGAUUGCUUCCCAACGUAAGCCGGGCUGUGAAUCACGUUAGGACUUUAACGAAGGGCUGGACUGAAGUUACGUGAAUUGGACGAUCUCUACCCCUCCCUCCGCAGUUUUUUUAGUAUGUUGAGUUUAUUUUUGGAUUUUUUUGUUGUUUAUUUUUGGGUUUCUCUUAUUUGGUUUUUUUUUUUUUCUUUUUCGUCUUUUGUAGGAGACCUCAGCUGCCUUCAUCAUGUAAGCUUAGUUCAUUCCGCUUAAUGAAUGAAGCAGGUAGCUUGCUACCUGUUUCUCAAAAUCAUCCGUGAGUCCGUGACAAAAGCCAAGCAAACACAAAAACCAAACAAUACAACAACAUGUGCUAUACACCACAUGGUACAUUAAUUAUUGUCUUUAUGGACUAGGAGUAAACUAAUCCUUUACUAUAACACGCGCAAAUUAAUUUAUACAAUUAAUUUAAAGACAGCACAUAAGUAAUAAUAAAAUUAUGCACAAUAAUAAAGAGAGAGAAAAAAAAAAAAAAAAAAAACACUAGAGUCACAGUACAUUGAUGGACAUGCUGACAACUCUUUAAUUCAAUCAUUUAUUGCACGUUCGUCAUGCCAUGCACCAAAAUAAACAAGCAAACUUAGAUAAAUAAAGGAAGGAUACAUCUUAAUUGACGCUACAUCUCACGGUUUAUAAUAAUAUAAUAUAAUUAAUAACUAGAAACUUUUAGUUAAAAUCAGAUUACGCGCGUAGGUACGUAGCAUCGAUCUUGGUUGGUACACAUGAGCCUGAGUUAGACCAGCUUCUCCAACUCGCUCUGAAACGCCGCCACGUGUCGCUCCUCGACGCAGCGCAUCACGAGCCGCACCCCCUGCUUCGGCACGGGCGGCCGCACGUAGACGCACGUGCCGAGGACGUUCAACUCGCCCGGGACGGGGAAGACGUAGCCGGGCCCACCCCACCCGUAGUCGACGUCGCCGUAACCGAGGCGGCUCCACUCCGUCACCAUCAACGUCCCGUAAUUCAACGGUACGUUGAAGCGCUCCUUCCCCGCGUCCCCGCUCAGCCACGCCGUGAACUCCGCCGUCACCGUCCGCUUCGCCUCGCGGAUCAGCCCCACCAACGCCGUUAGGGACUCGCCCGCGACGCGCUCCCCCGGUGCGGAUAUCCCCACCGGGUACACGCAGUUGCCGUAGUAGCCGCCGCGGAUCCCGAGGCGGUCGCAUAGGACGGGGCGGACGUUGGCCAUGAAGCUCAGGCGGACGUCCGCAUCGGGCUCGGACCGGAGGACCGCGCGCGUGCGGGACCGCCACGUCAUCGCGGUGACCGCCUCGAAGGUGGUGCACCCGAGGCCCGACUCGGAGCGGACGCGGCCCUUGACCCAGUCGAUGGACUCGAGGGGGAAGUCGAACUCGGAGGGGGUGAACCGGUAGAAGGUGAGGUUGGGGGCCGAGGUGGGCUUGGCGGGUGGUGGUGGGCCCGGGAUGGAGUCGCGGCGCCACGCCGGGCUCACCGAGGGCUCGGCGAGGCCCCGCGCCAACUCGGCCACCGCGUUCACGAACUGCGCCGCGCCGAGGCCGUCGAAGACGAGGUGGUUGUACGUGAUCCCGACCGCGACGCCGCCGCAUUUGAAUUCGGUCACCUGGUUGUUUUGACAUAAUUAAACACAGAAAAAAGAGGGAAAAAAAAGAAUAACUACAAAUUUAUGCUAAUAUAAUAUAUGCUAUUUUAUAUAUAUAUAUAUAUAUAUAUAUAGUUGAGCUGGAAUACUAUCAGUAGCAAACGGGCUCCGUUGCCACCCAUUUAUUUUUGAUGAUGGAGCCUCCAAAUCGACGAUCGGCACCGUUGAAAAUGAUCUAUACCACUUGAAGUAUCUAGAAAUCAAAUUUCAUACUUUUUCGAUAUUGUUUUCUUGUCCAUCAAGUGAGCGUAAAAAUGAAUGGCUGAAAAUGAAUAUCCUCUAAAAAGUGAUGAUAGAAAUUUUGUAAUCAUGAUCGAGAAUAUAGAUCUUGUUCUAAAUAGUUUAAAGAAUUUUCUAACCAAAAUUCAAUUGAUUUGGAUAGCUUUACACCGUUAAACGAGAAAACCCCUCAUAUCAACCAUUAAAAUUACUAAUUUUGAAACCCUUUGAUCAUUAGGUAAAUGAUGUCGCAAAAUUUUGAAAUUGAUUUCUAGAUACUUCAAGUGAUAUAGAUCAUGUUCACGGUGCCGAUCGUCGAUUUGAAAGCUCCAUCUUCGAAAACAAAUAGGUGGCAACGGAGCCCGUUUGCUAACAUAGCAUUCCAGCUCAACUCUAUAUAUAUAUAUAUAUAUAUAUAUAUAUAUAUAUAUAUAUAUAUAUAUAGAGUAUAGGCUAGAAUACUUUUACAAGUAUCACCCAAGUAACACUUGUGUGUUUUUAGCCAUUGGAUCUACUUUUUGAUUACUAAUAGGCCUUGGAUCAAACACUAUUCCACCUACCACCACCUACCACCAUCAUCUCAACCUCACAUCUCUCCAUCCAAGGGCUAAAAACACACAAGUGUCACCCAAGUGAUACUUUUACAAGUAUUCUAGCAUAUAAAUAUAUAUAUAUAUAUAUAUAUAUAUAUAUAUAUGAAGUGCUUAGGAAAUAAUUGAACCAGUGAAAUAUAUAUGAUAUAGAUAGAUUGAGCUGAAGCAUUGUGGGCCGGAGUGGGCGGUAUGAAGAUGAAGGAGAAGAAGCCGACAAAAUAAUGGACCAGACAUUGCCUGGGCGUGCAGCAAUUGGCAUAAAUAUUUUAUUAUUUGCAAAAUCUACAAUUCAAAAUGAACUGUAGCCUUACGAUCUAUAUGAAUUGUAGAUUAAUAUUUCUUUACAAAGUAAAUAAAUACCAGUUGAAACAAAAGCGUCAGAGCGGAAAAGAAGAAAAAAGAAGAAGAGAGCGACACGUUCGACGAAAUGCCCCAGAGAAGCCGAGGGAGAAGGGAGGGUACCUGCAUCAUGAAGAGGAGGUCGUCCUUGUUCACCCCGGGCGGGGGCCGCGCCACGAGGUCGGCGCUGGGGAAGGGGAGUGGGGCGCCGCCGAGGUGGCUCACGUCCUCGAGGGCGCACGCGGCCGCGGCCUCGACGAACCACACGCCCUCGCCCGUGCACUCGACCUCGAGCUCCCCGGGGCGCGGCUCCGCGAGGCGCCCCGCCACGGGGUAGUAGGGGACGAGCGCCCGCGAGAGGCCCUCGCGCACCGCGCGCGCCGGGUCGCGGCCCCCGCCGCCGCCCCCGCGGGGGAACACGAGCACGAGGUCGCGGGAGAGGCGCAUGCCGAUGAGGCGGUCGAGCGCCGAGAGCGCCAGCGCGCCGCGCGGCGUGGGCUCGCUCGGCUCGACGAGCGCCGGGGCGCGCUUCGUGAUCGUGGCCGCGUCGACGGUGCUCAUGGCGAGUGGGGAAAGAGAAAGUAACAGCAACGUGGGUGUUGUGAGCUGAGUGCUCCACUGCCUUUUCCUCUUAUUUAACUUUUUUUUUUUCCUUUUUCGGUAUAUGGACAAAACUUUUAUAAAAUUACGAAAAUAACCCUAUUCAUUAUUAAAUUUAAAAAUAUUUUAUUUAUUUUUGUAAGUAAUAAGUUACUGCCUUUGUAUGCGAAUACAUGUAUAGUAUUUACUAUUAAUUUUCCUAGCUUUUAAAUUAAAUAUUAUUCUACAUAUACCUACUAAAUCCAAAACAUUCAAAGUAUAAAAAUUAUGUAGGAAAUAAUAUUUUUUUACUACCAAAAUCACUCUAACUUUACUCUCUCUCUAUCCAAAUAUAUGAAGUCCAACUAAGUUUCGUUUAGGAGCCUGUUUUUGGUGUUAAUAGCUUUUUGACUCUUCAAUAAAUUUUUUUGCAUUUUGGAUUAUAAAAAAUAGGGGGCCCACCAUUGACCACUAUCCACUAUUAUUGGGUUUUGAUUCGAUCACUAAAAAGUGUUUGUACUUCUAAAAUUUAUAUAAUGAAUAAUGGAUAUAAUAGUCUCACACUAGUGACUCUCUCUAUCAAAUUUUUUUAUUUGGUCCCUUAUUUUCGUCAAUCAAGAAAAUAAUUUUGUCCUAUAUAAUAAUUAUCAUAAUAUAUUUAAUUAUUAUAAUUUAUAUUUAUAAAUAAAAUAUAUUUAAAAUAUAUUGUAUAAUAAAUAUAUAAUAUAAUAUAUAAUAUAUAAUAAUAAUUAUAAAUAUUUAAUAUUAUAAAAUAUAUUAUUAUAUAUUUAUAAAUAAAAUUAUAUAUAUAUAGGUGAGUGGUCCAGUGUGGACCACUCAUCUCGGUCCACGAGCUCUUACAUGAGCUCGUGGACCCCGAUGCAAGGAAGCCCCAUUAGUCCCGAUAGUUUUCGUUUUCCGUCAAGAUUCGGCCGAAAACGAAAAGCUCGGUUUUACGUGAAAUCUGUAAAAUAAUUUUUCCUAUAAAAUUUUUUUACGUCGAAUCAAACGCUAGAAAAAUAAUUUUUCACUGAAAAUAAUUUUUCACUGAAAAAAUUUUUCUGACCAUUUUUACAGGGAACCAAACGCCCUCUAAGUGGAGUGGUGGUGGUUGUGGAUGUUGAGUUGUUGAAAGUACUAUCAGAUUUGCAAAAGAAGGGAGCUAAGUAUGGUUAAAUUAUUUUAUAAAUAUAUUAUUAUUUAGCGAUAUAUGUUUAAAAAUUAUAAAUAAUUUUCGGAGAGCGAUCAUGGCGCGACGGAUUUGGGGCGAAUCAAAAAUUUUUUUCAUUUCUUGCUCUGAAUCCGUCUCGAAUCAUAUUAAAAUUACAUCAUUUCUUACUCCGAAUUCAUUCAUUUCCUCUCGUUUACUAACCCAUUCGGGACGGAUUGGAACAAAAACUCCACCAAUCCAGAUCCAUUUGCAUCCCUAAUGUAAACCCACAACUUUGUUAUAGAUGUGAAAUAACCGUUGUACUCUAAAAACUUAGCUGUUAGAAAAUGGUGUUUUAAAUAUUUUUAUAUUUAACACUUUUCCUCAUGUUUGGACUCAAGACUUUUUUUAAUCGGCCCAUAACGUGGGCUGGAAUUAAAUGAAAAGCUUAAGCUGUUAGAAAACGAUGUUUUAAACAUUUUUAUAUUUAACACUCUCCCUCACGUUUGGACUCAAGACUUUUUUUAGUCGGCCCAUGACGUGGGCUGGAAUUAAAUGGGAAAAAAUUAAUAUGUUAGGAGCCUGACGCGUGACUCGAACUCAGCAUGUGAAACAACCGUUGUACUUUAAAAGCUUAAGCUUUUAGAAAACGGUAUUUUAAAUAUUUUUAAAUUUAACAAUAGACAACAAAAGGUGCAGAAAUAAGGCGCAGAUUAGGAAUGCAAAUUGAGCUGGAUUGGUAGAGCUUCCAUCAUGACAGUAACUGAAAAUAAAAAGAUCUAAAAAAAUAUAACUCGUUUUGAGUAUGUUUCGAUUCGCCAAGUAAAUAAAAUGAAAGGCAGAAGAUUUUUUUUUUUUAUCGAUCCGUCCUGAAGGGACUGUUAAGUUGAGGGUUAAUCCGUCCCAUAUCUGCUCCGAUCCGAUAAAUUUGUCCCAUUUGCACCCCUACGACAAAUCAACCUAAUGUCAUUAGUUUUACAUGAACCAAAUAACGCAACAUACGAGUUUUCACCCCAAUUUUACUACGGUCGUCCUACAGUGAAAACAAACACGCCGAAAGUGAGAGGUAAACUCGUACCGAAUAUUUCUAUGCUAAGUUAAGGUAAAUUACAUUUACGCAUUCAAAUGUAUUUCGAUCGUCUCUUGCAUUAAAGAAAUAAAUUUAGUUGUAUUUUUGUAUCAAAUAGAUUCAGAAAGUUAAAAUAAUCAAUUAAAUAAUUUUACUGGAAUAGUUUGUCAUGUAUAGCAUUUUUUUUUAUAAGAGCAAUAUUACCUAUACACCUCUAGAUUAGAUGUUCAUCUUAUAUUUCAUCUCUCCAAAGAUCUCUCCUUUCUCAAAUCUUAUCAAUUUUUUAAAACUAAAAUUUAAAUAAACUUUUGUGAAUCUUAAAAUAUCAUGGAUAUAAGCUUUACACUUAUAUAUAGGUGUACUGGUAGGAUAUUUUUCGUUACAACUCUAACUCCCUCAUAAUUUUUUAAUGUUAAUUUAAUUAUUAAUUUAAAAUUUAAACCUACUUGCACAAGUAAAUCUAUUGUAGAAAAUCCUUACCAAUAUAUUUUUUUUUACUAUAGUAUGGAUGGUUCGAAAAUUGGUUUUUAUUUUUCUUUUAAAAAAUAGAUAGCAAACUACCUGCUUCAUUCAUAAAGCGGGAUGAAUUAAGCGUAUAUGAUGGAAGCAACAACGGCCUCCGAAAAAUAAGGUAAGUACAGAAAGAAGAGCAAAGUAGUAGAAGAAAGACUAAAAAGUGAAACAGUAAUAAGAAAACAGUAGUAAGAGAAGUAAGGGGAAAGAGGUGGCGCGACGGUUUAGUCGCUCUUCAAAAGUAAGGUCCAGUUGCUUAAUGAAGUAAGGUCCAGUCACUCAUCAAUUGUUUGACACGUCCGAGUGCUCGGGCAGCGUUGAUGGGUGCGGUUCGAAAAAUAGUAGAGUUUCUGUCAAUCCAAACAACCCACCAGAUUACUGACAGGAUGGUCAAUCCUUUGAUUCUUGUCGCAGCGUCGUGCGUUUCACAUAAUUUGGUCCAGACUUCCCGGACGUCCCCCAAAACAUCAGUGCUUACCGCCAAUCCUUCCGUCGAUAAUACUAGAAAACGAACAAAAACACAAUGGCAGAAAAGGUGGUCGUAGCUUUCCGGUAAAACCGCUCAGAAUACACAGUGUUGGUCAACAGACAUGCCUCUAGCAAACAAUCUGUCGGCCGUGAGAAGUCUCUUUCGAAGUAACAGCCAAAUGAAGAUUUUGAUCUUAAUAGGGAUUUUUAAACUCUAGAUAUUCUGAUUCUUCCGGUCUCUUAUUCCGCCGUCAGUAAGGAAUUGGUAAAUGGAUUUUACCGUAAACAGUUGGUUGCCGGUCCACUGCCAUUUUGGCGAAUCCGGUCUGUUGUCGGGAUGGCUACAUAGAAGCAGUUCCUUGAGUAACGCCAGCUGUUGACGGUUACAGCCUAAUCGAGACGCCAGAAAACUCCUGGUGAUGAAACGCCACCGCCAUCUAUUUACGUUCCAACAUAGAGAUACCCCAGCGUCCUUGUUCGUGGCAGUUGCAUAAAUGUCUGGAAAUAGGGUGCUCGAGGGGAUUUCACCAAUCCAAAUGUCGGACCACAACCUUAUGUUACUACCAAAGAAUAUUGAACUUGUAGAACGGGAGUAAAUUUGAUAGACAACAUGGCAUACACAAUGAAUACCAAAUAUAUAUAAAAUUCAUUUAAAAUAUUAAAUAUUAAUGGUGAGAGUUUGAACUUACUCACAAAGUUGAAAGGGUUUAGAUAUAAUUAAGAGGGCAGUUGCUCAUUUCCUUCAUUUUUUUUUCUAAAAAUGAGUUCAAUCAGAAAUAUAAAAUAACUAGAUUUCGAAUUUGAAAUUUUAUUAGGUAUUAAUUAUGACACUCUAGGGCAACUGUGCUAUGAACAUUCAAUAAAUCAUCCUCUUUUUAAAGCUUGUUCAAGUAUGGAUUACGAUUCUUAUCUUUUUUUAUUUUGUUUUAUGUUAUUUAGGUUGGGAGUGCGUUACUGUUAUCUUUAAUACAUUUACAGCAAUUGAAGUUCUACCUUAUUAAUAAAUACUUGCAAAUAAUUUCUAAGAAAAUAAAAAAUUAUCGUUUGUAUAUCAUGGAACUAACAAUAUCAAGUUGAUUGGAAAUAAGAUUAUACUUAACAAAAAAAAAAAAAUGCUGUUUGUCAACUAUAUACUUGAGCGUACUGUCAGGGACUUAACGAAAUUGCUAUGCAAUCUAAGUUUUUGGCCUAAUUUUACUAGCGGAGCGGGUCGUUAAAGAGACCUGAACCCAACCCGCUGUGGAGAGAUGAAGGGUUUUGUAACUUCUCACAUCAAUGAUGGAAGCUUAAGGGUUAUGAAACUCUCAAGAGUUAAUAGAGUGACUCUUGAGAUUAUGGCUCAUUAUGAGGGUAAGUUAGUGGGGUGUUGAGUGGCUAGAUUCAAUGUAUCUAGUAGCAUAUAAAUAGUGGCUAAGGCCAAAACACACGGAGAGAGUAUGUUAGUAUGCUGAAAUCUCUUUUUCUAACUAGUGUAGUACUUAGUUUUUUAAAAAAAUUUCUGCCUUUUUCUCUUGUUUCUUUCCUUUGCAUACUAAAUCGUAGGACGUGAAGGCCCGGGCUUACAACAGGGACAAAGGCUUAUCCAUCUCUGCGAAGAAAGGUGGGCGCCGCACGGGUUUUGCGAACGAAAACACUAAGUCCGUGACAGUACAUCUUACGGCAAUAUUUAGAAUUUUUUAAAAUAUAUAUAUAUAUAUAUAUUAUGCUUUUAGUAUUAAAAAAAAUACCAGUACAAAAAUAUAAAUCUUUGCUGAAUAAAGUAUAAGAUUCACAUUCUAUUUUUAGCUGCACAACUAACAUCGCUCAAUUUAGUAUAUGGCUCCACAAAUUUCAAAACCAACCACCAGCUUGUGGAUAAGUUAUGGUUUUUUCUUUUCUUUUUCCUAGAGAAAUAUUAUUUAUGUACUCCGAAAAAUAUGUAUACAUCUAACGCUCCUCAAUCCAAACAUUUUAAUAACUCUUUUUAAGUUUUUAAUAUUAAAAAUAAUUAUAAAAUAAAAAUAAAUUAUUGGUUUUUGAAUUAAAAUGGCGGGAGAUUUAGCGCCUACUUUUUGGGUUUGUGCAUUUGCACGUACUUGUGGAUGAUGAGUAAAUAUGGCGGUCAUUGAAAAUCAUCUUAGAAAAUCAAAAACACGAAAAAUUUUGAAAUGCACCGGAUAUGGGUGACGUGGCAUAACAAAUUAAUCAAAUCUCUUCUUUUAGAUAUAUAUAUAUAUAUAUAUAUUCUAUCAUAAUUAUAAAAAAAUAAGUUUAUUAUAUUUUUGUUUAAAAAAAAUUAUUAUCAUCAAGCUUGGUGGGUUGGGAAAAGCUUUGGAUUCACCAACCACGUGGAGGGGCAGUGAGCGGGAACUCCAAAGCUCCAACUAGCGAACCACGUUGCUGUCAAAAUAAAAUAAAAUAAAAUAAAAUAAACAUGUUCCUCACACACCUCAACAAGAGUAAAUCACUGAAUAAGUUUAAAAGGGAACUUCUUCGGUCCCAAUGCUCUCACACCACCACGAGGUCGACGACCCUAUGUUUCUAAUUGUUAUAUUUUUUUACUUGCUGAUUGCCGACGCAAGUAACAAAAAAUUUAAUAGUUAACAUUCAAAGUCUUAAAUUUAAAUUAUAAUUGAUUCACAUUUCUAAUUAAAUUUAUUUUUUAAAAAAAUAAACGAAUUCCAAUUAUAGUUGAUUCAUAUUUCAAACUAAAUUUAUUUUUAAAAAAAAUAAACGAAACGAAUAGCAUUUUAUCUAUCUCUCUCAAAAAAAAAAAAAAAAAAACAAAAUUACUUCUGAUUUGAUCCCUUUGAUACGUUUUGCGAUUUCCCAAGCAAGCCGGCCGGGACAUACCCUGAAAUUACCAUUUUACCCCUUAUAAAAUGCAUGGUGUUUUCCAAUUUUCCCUGGUUUGGUACAGAGGACGGGAGUGAGAAUGCAAAUACAAAUUGCAGUAUUUGAGGGAUACGUUAUAAUACUGGGGCACCUCACCAUCCUCAAGAGUCGAGCACCACCUUGUGUUAUAAGAAGCGCAAUAAUGAAAACGUACAUCGGGAAGCAGUGACUGGAUUACAUCCAAUUAUACAUAUCCGUUAAAAACACAAACACAAAAAACUACAUAGACACCAGGAAGCCCCUUCAGAAAUUGAAACGACAAUUUGAUGCGCUGCUACGAAUUUGCUCAGUUUUUGCACCAUUAAUCGGCAUUGUUGAACGGUUCCAGGGCUUAAACGCAUAGCAGUAGCGACGACUAAAGCCAUAAAUAUCACAAGCAUAUUACCUCCGGUAUCGUAAAAAAUAAGUUUAUUUUGGAAAGCACGGCACAUUUUAAACACAAACCACAUUGAAACAUAGGUACAUCAUCACAAACGGCGAGCUGAGAAAUGAGAAGAGAGAGUAUCCAGGCAUUGCAUCUCAGUGUUUCAAUACGCUGCAAAGGGAAGAGAAAUAGCAGAUAUCAGAAGAAUAACGCGGCGUCUAAGUAUAUACUAGUACAUGUAAGUGAAGCCCCUGUAGAAGGUAAAUUAAAGCCGUAAUAAAUUUGCUGUUAAUUGUAUAAUGAGUAGUGAAAUGGAGAAACAAAAACGCAAAUUAAACAACCAGCCACUCCCCUACAACAGAACUUUCACCAUCAUGCUAAGGUAUACUAGCAGAGAAACUACAGAAAUUUGCAACGUGUAAAGUUUAUUUGGCGACAGUACUGCUUUUCUAAGGAUAUAUUAUGCUUCCUGGAGUCACUUUCGAUGCAUCUUUUAUUGUCAAUAUGAUAACUUCUCAUGACAGGACAACAUAUGUACUCCAAAUAAAUAAAAAACUACGACAUGAUAUAUGCCAUCAUAUCUCAAGAGGAACGGUUAUCUCAGGUGUUUUGGAGUCAGAAGGACUAUGUAUAGAAGCCUGAUACGGCCAAAGAUCAGAGAAAUCCUUAGACACAAAAUGUCAUGCAUUGUGUGUUGAAAUUAUAAGACUGCCAGUCUAACUAAAAGUAGGUAACAUCAGCCGAGAUAAAUACAGUUUAUUAAACGCAGAGGAAACUUACUUGUAGAGGUAAGCAGCAAUACCGAGAAUGAUACACAGCAAGAUGAUAUCAAUACAGAAAUUGCGACUGGAUCUCAGCUGAAGGAAUGUCAGUACGAGAAAAGUUGUUAGAGAUUGACAAAAGUUUUCAACCACAUUUUAUUUCACAUUCAUCAUUUCUGAACCAUAUUGACAAAGCGAAAUGAACGUACCUGAGUGACAGUUUCCUUCAGUCUCACAUUAGUAUUCUUUAGGUCCGCAUUAGCCCUGUCCACCUGUACUCAGACAUACAAAUAGUCACUAAAAAAUACAACACCAAUUUAAUUUUAGAUCUAUAAUAACCAAUAUCUACAGUAAAGGCAGAGUAAACCAACCUUUGUUUCAAUCUCGUCAACCAAAGGAACUUGUCUAUCCAAUUCCUGGAAAUUACAUAAAAGAUGUUAAACUAAUCUUCACAUAAUUCUCAAGCAUAUAAAACAAGAAAAAAUCCCAACCUCAUUCAUAUCAUGGGCCAUGUUUUUAAGUGUAUCCAAACCUUCAGAAAUGACAUCCAAACCUUGAUCCUGCGAAAUAUUUGAAAAUUCAGCAUGUUAGUAGGAGAUCUUAGUUUCACUACAUCUUCCUGCGUACUGCACAAAGUAGGCUGAUUAUCCACUACUUGAACUCUUAUACUGAUUAAUUAAACAUUAUGGAAUAAGAAACAACACAUCACAACUACUCAUUAAAGCAUCACAAAAGGAAAAAAAAGAAAAAAAAAAAGAUAGGAAAGGAGAAGAAUAGAGCUGUGAAAAAUGGUUUACCAAUUGGAAACAAAAGACAAAGCUAAGCAAAAGAACGAAAAAUGAUAGGAAUACUUGCCUGCUUCAUCUUGCGCAUCUCAUAUUCUUGUCUAAAUUGAUUUGACUCUUCGCUCUGCUGAAAGUACUCACUGUCAAAUCUUCCAUCUACAACCAAUUUUUAGUCAACAAAGAGUUAAACUUCAUAAAUAACAAUGCAAUUAAAACCACAAAGCAGAGACACUGCGAGAGAACUAGCAGAGGAAGACAUAGAACUCCUAUUAAUGCAUGUCCAAGGCUAUAGGAACACAAAUUUUGUUUUUCUUUUUUUUCUCUUUUUCCUCAUGAUGAAGAAGUCAAUUAACACAAUAAGCUCAGACAUUAACACAAUAAGCUCAGAUGCAAUCGCCAACUUAUCUAACUCAUCCUGAACAAGAUAUUCGUGUGUAAGAAGAGCAAAGAGACACCCAUAAUUCUUUGAAAAUAUAAGUGUUUCCAUGAACUAUUAAUAAAAAGUAGUACUAGAUGAUGAAAAGUUUUGUCAGAACGAAUGACACCAGAAAGGUCCCUAAGAUUUGUAACUGUGGUGACCAACUGGAAUUCUAUCUCUUCCUCACUAAAAUAUGAAGUUAAACGAAAGGAGCGGGAGACGAAGAUUGAUAAGCUAUCUUAUAUGUAUCCAAACCCUGAAUGAAUAAACAAUUGCAGAACCAAAAAUGCUGAUUAUAAGAAUAUACAAUAUAGAAGUUAACAGUUGCUAAUGCCAAACAAAGGAAAGGUACAAGUUCUUCCCACAUUAAAAUGCAUCCUAUAAGAUAAAUAUACAGAAAGUUAAGGGUAACAGCAGCUAGAUAACAUUAUGUUCACACUAUUGAGUAGCAGUUAAGAACCUGAAGUUGAGUCAAACUUAAUUUCAGUGCGGGAAGCUGAAGCUGUCCAGCUGCUCGUCUGUUUCGUUCCAGUAGCACUCCCAUCUGGUAUUGAUUGUAUGCGCUCUGGUAGGGCCACAACCAAAUCAUUACGCAUGGCGAGCUCUUCCUUCGAAAGCCCUUUCACCUGCGAUAAAUACAUUUCAGGGUCCACGCAAUGAAUGUACAAUAUAAGAUCAAAGCCCAACAUCUCAAAAGAACUCUUAUCAAUUAGUCUAAUAUAACAGGCAAAAAUAAAUUGGGCACAUAAGAGUCAUCACACUUGAAUCCCAAACAUUCAAAUUACUAAAUCAACAUAUUUUCAUAGUUGGACAUAAUGAUCAACUAUUAAAUUGUUAAAUGAUGCUCUAGAUCCAUAAAAUAUUGCAAGCCAAAACAUCAAAUGAAGAUAAUCGCAAGGACCAUCAAUUAGACAUAUCCACAUUCAUAUGGUGAUUUUCGGAUAAAGCCUAUCAAAAACAGAUUCAAUCUCCAUUCUGAUCUUAUCUUCUAUCUGAAUUACUCUGCUUUCUAAAAGAGACCAAUGUGAUGGCCAAUCAUCAACAAAAUCUCCACAAAUAAACCAAUGUACCCUCUUCGAUCUAUUUACCUUCUUAUUUCAAUUCCUUAGAAACAAAAGCUACAAUUACACUAAAAUUUUGCAAAUUGUCUAAAACAGAAGCCAGCCGGAGCAAACGACAUUUUCCAAACAAGUAAUCUGCAAAUAAAAAAAAUAAAAAAAAAAAAAGGAAUACCACAAACAAUCUCCCAAAAGCUAUUACAUUGUUCUAAAAAGGCAUCACAAUGCAAAUUGCACAUCUCCAACCCGAAUCUAAGCACAAAAGAACAAAUUACGAGCAAAACUUGAAGAGCAAGGCAACACGCACUAAACAAAUCACGAGAUCUAAAGAUGCGAUGGGCGGGGAAGGGGACGGACCUUUUUGAGCGCCAAUCUCUGGAGCUUGGGGACCUCCUCCAUGAGCCGCGCCUUGGUGCGUCGGAUCUCGGCGUUCAUGGCGACGGCGGCGGCCCGGUUCUUCUCCUUCGCCGCCAUCUCCGCUUUCUGCACCGCAACAAUCGCAUCAAAAAACCGCGACGAAACCCUAGAAACACAAAGGGAUCGGGGUGGGUGGGGGUUGUAGAGGGGAGGGAACCUCGAGAGCGGAGUCGAUGUCGGCCUCGACGGAGGCGAAGAGGCGGGCGAAGGGGUCAUCGCCGGAGACGUUGUUGGCGUUGAGCUUCUCGACGUCGUACUUGUCGUACUUCUUGCAGAUCGCGUCGACGCGCGUGAGGAUGUCGAUCACGCUCAUGGCGAUCUCCUCUUCCUCCUCCUCCCUCCUCCUCUUUCACGAGAUCGGAUCCCUCGUCCUCGUCGUCGUCGUCGUCGUCCCCGUCCCAAUUUUGUUUUUAUUUUUAUUUUUUAGUUUUUGUUCGAAGUUUAAUAAUAUUUUGAGAUGGUGGUGGGGGAGCGGCGACGACGCGGGGGCACAGGCUGGCUAUUUUCUGGAUGGGAGGAGUAGAGAAAUUGUUUGAUCGAUCGGUUGAGAGAUGCAGAGGCUUGAGAGAAUUGGGUGAAUCGGAAGACGCAGUCGCCGAGCCCAAAUCAACGCGUCGGGUUUGGUCCACGCCAACGCUUUUGAGUUCGGGUACGGUGGCAACUGAAACCUCUUUCUAAAUUUUUUUUAUUCUUUUAUUCUUUUUUGUUUUUCAUUAUACGGAGAGUUUUAUACAGAAAUACGAUUAUACGAUCAAAUCAAUUAUUUGUUAUUAUUAUUAUUUUAUUAUUGUAUAUUAAAGACCAAGCGACCCGGUUAAAAGAAGAAAAAUAAAAGAAAAAAUUACAAAACCGAGAACUCUUAAUUUGUACGAAAAAUGUAAUAGUAUGGUUGAACUUUUUCAUGUAAUUCUAACUACAGUAAUUGAAUUCAAAUUUACUAAAUCAAACACUGAAUCUGAAUAUGCAUAUAGUUACAACUACAGAUCAGUCGCAAUUAUAUAUAAUCAAGCAUUCUCUUAUAUGUAUUAAGAUGCACAUUCACAUUAGGCAUAAUCUCCUAAAAUUUCAAAAGUGAUCAAAACAUUAAUAGAACCAGAGGGAAGAAAUAAAUUAGGAUGUAAAAGAGACCGGCUAUUAAUUUAUAAUAAAGCAAGCUCAUUAAUUAUCAUGUAUUGCAUAAUUAGCCACAACAUUCAAAUACCAGAACAAACCAACAAGGGAAAUACACAUACAAUCCUUCAUAGCUAAUUGACUUAGCACGACAAAUUAACCCCAUAACGUACUCCAUUACUUUAAUACUGCACCAUGUUGUUACCCCCCUCAAUUUUCCCUCUCAUUGUGUCUAUUUUUCUCACCAACCGAGCCCAGUUCACGGCCACUUGCACAUACAGCCUAUCAUACAUGUUGUCUACGAAGCGAAAAUANCCCUGCAAAUUUGUGCUCUCGAGCAACAACAUCUCUAGCUUGUUCCAUGCGCAACGUGGCAACCUCUGCACCAAUUCCGUUAUAUCUCCAUUCAGUUGGUUAAAUGUUAGAUCUAGUAUCCUCAAGUUGCAUAAAUUUUUCAAGGUUCCAGGCAAGAAUCCCACAAAUCUAUUGAUUCCUAGUCCAAGAACUUCGAGGGAAGUUAGAUUUCCGAGACCAUCAGGAAAAGGACCAGACAUUAGAUUUUGUAUGAGAUAGACGUGUUUAAGGCUAACUAUAUUCCACAACCAGUCGAGCUUGGUAGCGCUGUCGAAGAGAUUAAAUCCUAGAUCAAUGGUCGCAAGUGCGGUGAGGUUAGAACGAGGAAGAGAAGCGAUUGUUUUAUUAUAAAGCACGCAAUUGGCUAGCCUUAGAACUUGCAGAGAAGGGAGCAUGUUCAUCACUUGAACCCAGUCUACGACGGCGGAGAGGUCCACAGAGCUUAUAUCGAGGUACCUCAAAGAAGCGAGGCGCGGUAACCAUGAGAGAUCAACUGAGUACAUGCGAUGGUUGUUGUACUGAUAAUGAUAAGAUUGGUAGUGGUAAUAAUAAAAACGAUCUUGAAUGUCAAGAUGUCGCAAGCGAGAGAGAUUGCCAAGCUGAGGUGGUAUGGCACCGAUAAAACCGGCUCCAGAGAGGUUGAGAUACCUCAACUUCUCAAGAGAGCCAAUGAACUUUGGUAUCGGGCCGCUAUUAAAGCUGUUCAUGCUUAGGUCGAGGUAAUUUAUUUGUCGUAAAGCAAGCAGAGAAGGACUGAUCUCACCGUGCAAAGACAUAUCUACGGGACUGUUGAUGUCGGUGUUGCGAAGGUCGAGCUUCACGACAUGGCCCGUUCUGUUGCUGCACGCGACGCCCUUCCACCUGCAGCAGUCUUGACCUUGCCAAGACGAGAGAACGUUCUGGCGAUCUACGACGCCUGCUUUGAAGGAGAGAAGCGCAGCCCUGUCGCGCAGAAUGCAGCCGAGGGAGGGGGCAAUGAAUAGCAGAUGCCAAAGUAAGAGAACUGCAUGGUUGGAGAAUCUACCAGCCUUGGCCAUUUUCUUGCCUUCUGAAUGUAGCUGGACCAGGCGCCAACAACUGGAAAUGUAAUACUUGCUUUUGGAGAUUACAUUAUAUAUAGGAUUUUUUUUUCCUUAAAAAAGAAAAAAACAACUCUCCCUCUCAUUCCCUGGGCCCAACAGGUUCUCCGAGUGAGUGGAUGAGUCUAUUGACUCUCCAUUUUUUACUACAAUACACACCACAUCUUAUUUGUUAUAUCUAUCGUAUAAGUUAAAAAAUUUUAUAGCAUUUGAUAAGUAAGAAGUAUAUGUCAAAUAGCUAAAAUUACAUACUAGAUAAAUAUUACAUUCAACAUCCCAAUUAUUGUUUCUUAUGUGAAAUAUACUGUGACCUCGCAAAAGACUGAAAUUCAUGAAUCUUAACAAUAUAUAUAAAGAAAAGGCAUCUCACAGCUAAAGGUCAAAGUAUUUUGCUGGCUUGUCCUAAAGAAAAGGCAUCUCACAGCUGAUAACCUUGUAAAGAGAGGAUGGACUGGCGACACACUUUGUGUACUAUGCAGUGCCCAUGAUGAGUCGGUGGACCAUCUGUUUUCUCAUUGUGUUUUUACCAAGUUCAUCAUGGUCAUGGGGGUGGAGGGCGUGCAGGGGGGUGAGCUAGGUGACGACGUGUAUCAUGUCUGGGAUAGGUGGGCGACCAGGAAAGGACGGUAUAACAAGAGCAACAGCCUUCCGGAACUGGUUGCUUGCUGGUGGACCAUUUGGAAGGUCAGAAAUGAUCUGAUUUUUCGAAANNNNNNNNNNNNNNNNNNNNNNNNNNNNNNNNNNNNNNNNNNNNNNNNNNNNNNNNNNNNNNNNNNNNNNNNNNNNNNNNNNNNNNNNNNNNNNNNNNNNNNNNNNNNNNNNNNNNNNNNNNNNNNNNNNNNNNNNNNNNNNNNNNNNNNNNNNNNNNNNNNNNNNNNNNNNNNNNNNNNNNNNNNNNNNNNNNNNNNNNNNNNNNNNNNNNNNNNNNNNNNNNNNNNNNNNNNNNNNNNNNNNNNNNNNNNNNNNNNNNNNNNNNNNNNNNNNNNNNNNNNNNNNNNNNNNNNNNNNNNNNNNNNNNNNNNNNNNNNNNNNNNNNNNNNNNNNNNNNNNNNNNNNNNNNNNNNNNNNNNNNNNNNNNNNNNNNNNNNNNNNNNNNNNNNNNNNNNNNNNNNNNNNNNNNNNNNNNNNNNNNNNNNNNNNNNNNNNNNNNNNNNNNNNNNNNNNNNNNNNNNNNNNNNNNNNNNNNNNNNNNNNNNNNNNNNNNNNNNNNNNNNNNNNNNNNNNNNNNNNNNNNNNNNNNNNNNNNNNNNNNNNNNNNNNNNNNNNNNNNNNNNNNNNNNNNNNNNNNNNNNNNNNNNNNNNNNNNNNNNNNNNNNNNNNNNNNNNNNNNNNNNNNNNNNNNNNNNNNNNNNNNNNNNNNNNNNNNNNNNNNNNNNNNNNNNNNNNNNNNNNNNNNNNNNNNNNNNNNNNNNNNNNNNNNNNNNNNNNNNNNNNNNNNNNNNNNNNNNNNNNNNNNNNNNNNNNNNNNNNNNNNNNNNNNNNNNNNNNNNNNNNNNNNNNNNNNNNNNNNNNNNNNNNNNNNNNNNNNNNNNNNNNNNNNNNNNNNNNNNNNNNNNNNNNNNNNNNNNNNNNNNNNNNNNNNNNNNNNNNNNNNNNNNNNNNNNNNNNNNNNNNNNNNNNNNNNNNNNNNNNNNNNNNNNNNNNNNNNNNNNNNNNNNNNNNNNNNNNNNNNNNNNNNNNNNNNNNNNNNNNNNNNNNNNNNNNNNNNNNNNNNNNNNNNNNNNNNNNNNNNNNNNNNNNNNNNNNNNNNNNNNNNNNNNNNNNNNNNNNNNNNNNNNNNNNNNNNNNNNNNNNNNNNNNNNNNNNNNNNNNNNNNNNNNNNNNNNNNNNNNNNNNNNNNNNNNNNNNNNNNNNNNNNNNNNNNNNNNNNNNNNNNNNNNNNNNNNNNNNNNNNNNNNNNNNNNNNNNNNNNNNNNNNNNNNNNNNNNNNNNNNNNNNNNNNNNNNNNNNNNNNNNNNNNNNNNNNNNNNNNNNNNNNNNNNNNNNNNNNNNNNNNNNNNNNNNNNNNNNNNNNNNNNNNNNNNNNNNNNNNNNNNNNNNNNNNNNNNNNNNNNNNNNNNNNNNNNNNNNNNNNNNNNNNNNNNNNNNNNNNNNNNNNNNNNNNNNNNNNNNNNNNNNNNNNNNNNNNNNNNNNNNNNNNNNNNNNNNNNNNNNNNNNNNNNNNNNNNNNNNNNNNNNNNNNNNNNNNNNNNNNNNNNNNNNNNNNNNNNNNNNNNNNNNNNNNNNNNNNNNNNNNNNNNNNNNNNNNNNNNNNNNNNNNNNNNNNNNNNNNNNNNNNNNNNNNNNNNNNNNNNNNNNNNNNNNNNNNNNNNNNNNNNNNNNNNNNNNNNNNNNNNNNNNNNNNNNNNNNNNNNNNNNNNNNNNNNNNNNNNNNNNNNNNNNNNNNNNNNNNNNNNNNNNNNNNNNNNNNNNNNNNNNNNNNNNNNNNNNNNNNNNNNNNNNNNNNNNNNNNNNNNNNNNNNNNNNNNNNNNNNNNNNNNNNNNNNNNNNNNNNNNNNNNNNNNNNNNNNNNNNNNNNNNNNNNNNNNNNNNNNNNNNNNNNNNNNNNNNNNNNNNNNNNNNNNNNNNNNNNNNNNNNNNNNNNNNNNNNNNNNNNNNNNNNNNNNNNNNNNNNNNNNNNNNNNNNNNNNNNNNNNNNNNNNNNNNNNNNNNNNNNNNNNNNNNNNNNNNNNNNNNNNNNNNNNNNNNNNNNNNNNNNNNNNNNNNNNNNNNNNNNNNNNNNNNNNNNNNNNNNNNNNNNNNNNNNNNNNNNNNNNNNNNNNNNNNNNNNNNNNNNNNNNNNNNNNNNNNNNNNNNNNNNNNNNNNNNNNNNNNNNNNNNNNNNNNNNNNNNNNNNNNNNNNNNNNNNNNNNNNNNNNNNNNNNNNNNNNNNNNNNNNNNNNNNNNNNNNNNNNNNNNNNNNNNNNNNNNNNNNNNNNNNNNNNNNNNNNNNNNNNNNNNNNNNNNNNNNNNNNNNNNNNNNNNNNNNNNNNNNNNNNNNNNNNNNNNNNNNNNNNNNNNNNNNNNNNNNNNNNNNNNNNNNNNNNNNNNNNNNNNNNNNNNNNNNNNNNNNNNNNNNNNNNNNNNNNNNNNNNNNNNNNNUUUGUCUUUUUUUUUUUUUUUUUUUUUUUUCCGAGACCCUAGUUGUUCUUUGUUUUCUUCCGAGGCCCUAGUUGCCUCACCUCUGUAGCCUAGUUCAUCCAUUCUCAAAAAAAAUAAUAUAUAUAAAAAAUAUAUUCUUAUAACAAAUGAUACAGAAAUGAUGCAUACACUGUUACAUAUGUUGUUUUCGGAGGGUGCGUGCAUUCGAGGGAACAACACAUAAGAGAGGGAAAAAUGAAGUUAUGCUAGCUUAUUCACCUAGACUUUUUUCAGAGUCCAUAUAUAACGCUUAGAAUUCCACACAUGAAAACGGAGCAGGUUUCUAUCUCGCUAUAAAUAUUUUGUUCUUUUCUUAAAAUAUCCCCCCGAACUUUAUCUAUCUUGUCAUUCUCAAUAGUGCUCAACCCUACGUUAGUAUGCAUGCAUGCUCUAGAAUACAAGACCUGUUUGGAUAUUUGAAUAGGAUUCUUUUUCUUCCUUUUUUUCCUUUUUUUUUUUUUUUGUGAUUCAGCGCGCGUAGCUUUGCUCAUUUGAAUAAAAGCUAUUUAGAGACAAUUUAUCAGCUAUGAAGUUUUUUGGUUUUUGGUGAUUGAAAUUCAAAUUCAAAAUUUUGAUUUUAGCUUCAACCAGAAAUUAAAAAAUGCAAAAAUUUCAUGAAAAAUUUCCAAAGUCAUGAUUUAUUAGGGUAGGAUACUGCAGAUCAUAUAUGAGAGGUAAUUUAUUUUAUUUUGAAAAAAUAAUUUUUUGGCCAAUUACUUUUCAUCUACUAUAUAUUUGUUAAAUAAAUAAUAUAUAAAAAGAUAUAUUAAAAAAAAAUUUCAUGCAUCUAAACACUAUGUAAGUUGAAAAAAUACAAAAUCAUAAGAAGGAAGAAAGUGCAGCACUUUUGAAAUGUUACUGUUCAGGAUCAAACCGGCCGGUGACCUUCAGUGUGUAAGGCCCUAUUUGGUCUAGCUUUUUCAAAGUAAUUUUGAAUUUAAAAUCACUUUUGGACUCUUUAGAGUGUUUGAUAAAGGGAUCUGAAAAAUCUGCUUCUGUUUUUCAAAAGCAGUAAACUGAUUCUUCAACCCCAAAAGUAGAAGCUGAAAAAAACUGCUUCUCAAAACUUAUUGGCGCACACAUUGAAACACUACUUAACUUAUUGAUAACCACUACACCACAGUAACUUGUUGAUCUUUAAAACAUUCAUUUCAAUAUUUAUUAACUAACUUAUAAGAAUAAUUCCCUCCAAACUCUAAUAGGUCUUGCGUCAAACUAUGUUUUAUCUGUCUACAUAUAUACCCUUCUUUUUUCUAGUUUAAUACAAUUUCUUUUGUCUUUUAGUCCAUAGAUUAAAUUCACCCAUUAACUCCAACACUAGGGAUAUGUGCUAAUGCUCCAAACAACCCGAAUCGGAUCCGGAUGAUAGAUCAGAGCAACUUUGUGAAUCAGGGAACGAGCCCGACCUGGCUCGAUUCACUGGAUCGGGCUAGAUGGGAAAAAUUCAGAUCCGAUACAAUUCGAUAAAAUCCUGAUUUAAUCCUUCGGGCUCAAACCUAAGGCUAACCGGAGGCCCGCGCGGGCUGCGUCCAUCUCUAGAGGUGCCGGCCCGACCCGCGUGAAUUGGGUUCGGACUCGAGUAAGAUUUAACGGGUUAACCAGUUAACGAGUUAACGGGUCCUAGCCACUUUGCCGUAUCGGUUCAUUGCUCCUUUCUGGAGAUGCGUCCAAGACCACACCUCCUGGGCUUGACUCCUUCGCGUGAGUCCACCAAGUCCAAGAACCCAAUUUUUAUUUUAUUAUAUUUUCCCUUCUAAAUCAAUUGGCAUUUGUACUGCUAUAUUUGAAAUAUGAUUGGUAAGAUAAGAGAUUAGGAUUUUGACAAUUUAAAGAUUUAAUAUUCGAAAGUGGUGAUUGAACCCACGACAUUACAGAACAACAAUAGUUUAUGAUUAGUUCCGGUACCAUAUUAACCAUGAAAUCAAAACCAACAUAGAAAUAGAGAACAGUUUUGGGAGGAUAUGCCUUUUACCAUUUGGAAAAAUUAUAAUUAUAUCUAUUUUGUGUUGUAAUUAUAGAUAAUAUAUUUGAUUGCGUGCACUUAAAAAAUAUAUUUUUAAAAUUUUAUCAAUUUAUAAGUGGCGGUGGCGGUGGCGGUGUGAUUAGAAAAGUUUCUAUUUAAUUAGUGAUAGAAAAAUAGAUUUAUCUUUUGUUUAAGUUACUUUCUUCAACAAUGUAGUUGGAACUAUAGUCAAAUUAGGUGUAGUUCCAACUAGUACAGUUGAACCUUCUCAUACAACUCUAGUUGGAACUAUAGUUAAAUUAGGUGUAGUUCCAACUUAUGCAAUUAAACCUUCUCAUGCAACUCUAACUACGGUAAUUAAAUUCAAAUUCACUAAAUCAAACACCGAUUUUGAAUAUGCAUGUAGUUACAAUUACAGAGCAGUUGCAAUUAUAUAUAAUCAAACAUUCUCUUUUUAAGAUGCAGAUUCACAUUAGGCAUAAUCUCAAAAAAAUUUCAAUAAGUGAUCAUAAUAGAACCAGAUGGGAGAAAUAAUUUAGCUAGGAUGUAAAAGUGAUCGGCUAUUAAUUUAUAAUAAAGCAAGCUCAUUAUCAUGUAUUGCAUAAUUAAACACCAUAUUCAAAUAUCAGUACAAACCAACAAGGGAAAUACACAUACAAUCCUUCAUAGCUAAUUGACUAGCACGACAAAUUAACCCCAUACGUACUCCAUUAAUUUAAUAUUGCACCCUGUUGUUACUCCUCUAUUUUCCCUCUCAUUGUGUCUACUUUUCUCAUCAACCGAGCCCAGUUCACGGCCACUUGCACAUACAGCCUAUCAUACGUGUUGUCUACGAAGCGAAAAUAAGCAAUUCUCCAAAUUCUAACGAAAAAUAAGGUGCCGAAAACAACCCAAAGCCCCGUGACAAAUCCAACACUUACCACACAGUAGAAGACUGCCGCAUCUGACACUGCACUCUCAUGUUCUGUGAUAUUAUUAUUAGGAGAUGUUUGAUUUGUCGAACAUUCGUCGGAGAGAGGAGGCCCGCAAAGUCCGGGGUUGCCGAUGUAGAUCGAUGGGUCGUCGAACGUCUGGAGGUGGUGGUCGAACGGUAUCCGCCCUGACAGAUUGUUGUAGGACAAGUUCAACCAGCCUAGCGAACUUAAGUUCGACAUGCUCGGAGGAAUAGCUCCAGAAAGCUCAUUGUUCGACAGGUCGAGAGAUUCCAAUGACUGCAGCUGGCCGAUGCUCCUCGGAAUGUUUCCGCUUAGGUGAUUUCUCGACAAGUUCAAGUUAGUUAAGCAAAGUAGAGCACCUAUUUUUUCAGGGAUCACUCCAUGUAAGUUAUUGGAUGAUAAAUCUAUGCUUACCAUGAAUGGGGAUGAGCUGGAGUAAUUGCGCUCUUGCCCUUUCGUGACCACAGAAAAGCCAUCCGUGUAAGUAAAAGAAUCAUAGCCUCCCGGAUAAUCACUCCAGUAUCCUUGCACAAAACCAUGAUCGGGCAGCCGUAGAGCCAUUGCUGUGAAAUUUGCGAGAGGCGGAGGAAUCUUUCCUGAGAGAUUGUUGUGUGCGAUGUCUAGAACUCGAAGUCGCUCAAGUUUCGUUAGUUGAAAAGGAAUGGAGCCAGAGAACAUAUUAUUCCUCAACUUCAGGAAUGCCAAAGAUUGCAAUUUCUCACCUAUCCAUGCAGGUAAGAUUCCGGAGAAUUUAUUAUAGGCUAGAUCUAGUAUGGCAAGAUUUCUGCAGUUUCGUAGGAACGAAGGGAAUGUACCGACGAGGCUAUUGUUGCUUAGGCUUAAGACCAAAAGCGGCACUCCUGCUAAGCCAGCCAUCUCGGGGUCCAUCGAACAUGGAGGAAACAUUCCUGUUAGAAGGUUGUUUGAUAAAUCUACAAAUUGCAAGUACUCCAAUGACUGGCAUAAGGAAGAUGGAUGGGAUGGUGCCACUGAUACGAUUAUUUGAAAGAGCCAAAGCUUCCAAAUACGGAGCUCCAAAAUUUGUUGGCAGUGGUCCUGAUAAUGAAUUUUUGGAGAUCCGCAGCUCGGUGAGAUUUGCAGGUAAUUGUGGUAGCGGACCUUCGAGCUGAUUGGAGCUAAGGUCCAUUGUCUCCGUUGACAUGGUUUCCAAAGAUGCAGGUAGCCUGCCGACAAUUUGAUUAUUCGACAGAACCAAAACUGAAGCUCGAGAAAACACAUUCCAGAAUCAAGAAGGUACUGGGCCGGAUAUUCCUGUAUCAGAGAGGUCGAGCGUAGAAAUUGUUGACUGACUCUGAAGCCACGCAGGAAAAUGGGGCCCUAGCUUGCAGGAGCCAAAGUCAGCAAGUUCUAAUCUAAACGGCGGAACCCAAGUUGGGUCCACUGUGAUGGUCAGAGGGUUCCUGGACAAGAUCAAUAUCUCUAAUCUUGUUAGCCUCGCAAAAUGAUCAUCCGUUAUUACACCGCUGAAGCUAUUGUAGCUCAAGUCCAGGUAAACCAACUUUUCAAGUUUUCCUAUUGAUGGAGGAAUCGAUCCAUUAAGCGUGUUAUUAUGAAGAACAAGCAUGUUCAGACUGGUCAUAUCCUCUAGCCAAUUUUUUGAUAAGUUCCCAUGCAAAUUGGUGCUGUCGAGCACCAACAUCUCUAGCUUGUUCCAUGCGCAACGUGGCAACCUCUGCACCAAUUCCGUUAUAUCUCCAUUCAGUUGGUUAAAUGUUAGAUCUAGCAUUCUCAAGUUGCAUAAAUUUUUCAAGGUUCCCGGCAACAGUCCCACAAAUAUAUUAUCUGUUAGGUAAAGAGCCUCAAGGGAAGUCAGAUUUCCGAGACCAUCAGGAAAAGGACCGGACAAUAGAUUUUCUUCUAGGUUGACGUAUUUAAGGCUAACUAUAUUCCACAACCAGUCGAGCUUGGUAGCGCUGUCGAAGAGAUUAAAUCCUAGAUCAAUGUUCAUGAGUGCUGUGAGGUUAGAACGAGGAAUAGAAGCGAUUGUUUUAUUAUAAAGCCCGCAACUGGAUAGUCCUAGAACUUGCAGAGAAGGGAGCAUGUUCACCACUUGAACCCAAUCUACGACGGCGGAGAGGUCCACGAAGCUCAUAUCGAGGUACCUCAAAGAAGCAAGGCGCGGUAACCACGAGAGAUCAACUGAGUACAUGCGAUGGGUGAUGUAAUAAAAAUAACUGUAGUUGAAAUAAUAAUAAUAAUUAUAAUUAUAAUUGUUGUGGUAAUAAUAAUAUUCAUUUUGAAUAUCAAGAUAUCGCAAGCGAGAGAGAUUGCCAAGCUGAGGUGGUAUUGCACCGAUAAAACCGGCUCCAGAGAGGUUGAGAUACCUCAACUUCUCAAGAGAGCCAAUGAACUUUGGUAUCGGGCCGCUAUUAAAGCUGUUCAUGCUUAGGUCGAGGUAAUUUAUAUGUCGUAAAGCAAGCAGAGAAGGACUGAUCUCACCGUACAAAGACAUAUCUACGGGACUGUCGAUGUCGGUGUUGCGAAGGUCGAGCUUCACGACAUGGCCCGUUCUGUUGCUGCACGCGACGCCCUUCCACCCGCAGCAGUCUUGGCCUUGCCAAGAUGAGAGGACGUUCUGACGAUCUACGACGCCUGCUUUGAAGGAGAGAAGCGCGGCCCUCUCGCGCGGAAUGCAGCAGAGGGAGGGGGCAAUGAAUAGCAGAUGCCAAAGUAAGUGAACUGCAUGGACGUUGGAGAAUCUACCAGCCUUGGCCAUUUUCUUGCUUUUUGAAUGUAGCUAGCCCAGGCGCCAACAACUGGAAGUGUAAUAUUUGCUUUUGGAGAUCACAUUAUAUAUAUAUAUAGGAUUAAAAAAUAAUAAUAAUAAAACAACUCUCCCUCUCAUUCCCUGGGCCCAACAGGUUCUCCGAGUGAGCGGACAAGUCUAUUGACUCUCCAUUUUUGACUAGAACUAGAAUACACACCACAUCUUAUUUGUUAUAUCUAUUAUGUAACUUAAAAAACUUUAUAUCAUUUCAUAAAUAAGAAAGUAUGUCAGAUCGUAUAGCUAAAAUUAUACACUAGAUAAAUAUUAUAUUCAACAUUCCAAUUAUUGUUUUGUAUGUGAAAAUACACUAUGACCUCACAAAAGACCGAAAUUCAUGAAUCUUAACAAUUUAUACAAAAUAUUGGAUAAACUUCAAAUAUCACCGCAGUGGUUUCGUAUUUUUUCACUUUAGUACCUUAUAGUUUAAAGUGUAUCUAUUUAGUACGUAUAUAUGGUUGCAUUUUUCUCUUUUCGUCGGUCCUUUCGUUAACUUUUCGUUAAUUCAUAUACAAAAAACUUCAGAUAUCCUAGCUAUAGUUUAUCGAAUAUUCACUUUAGUACCUUUUAGUUUUAAUUUUGUCACUGAUUUAACUAAAAAAAAUUUAAUGAAGAGGAUAAAAAAAAAAAAAACAAAAUCAUAGAGUACGAAAAUAAUACAUUUUAAACCACAAAGUACUAAAAGUGAGAAAGUGCGAAAUUAUAGAGAUGGUAUUUGAAGUUUUUCCUAAAAAAAAAAAAAUUCUUAUAACAAAUGAAAUUGUUGCAGAAUUUUAAUUCACUCUCGCUGUCAUUAACUGGAACAAGCACUAAAAUGUUGAUGCGAGGAGACUCAAGUAAAUAUUACUGGUCCAAGUCAUUGUAUUCUUGCGUUGAUUGGUUGUUUGAAAGAAAGAUACUCGGAGGAAACAACACAUAAGAGGGGGGAAAAAAAUGCAAUUAUGCUUAUUCACCUAGACUUGCGUCCAUGGCGCGUGGAAUUCUAUACGUGAAAACAGAUCAGGGUUUCUGUCUCGCUAUAAACAUUUUGUUUUUUUUCUUCUUCUUCUUCUUUUGUCUCGCUUGAACAUUAUCUAUCUUGUCAUUCUCAAUAAUACACAACCCUACAUUAGUAUGCUAUAAGAUACAAGACCUGUUUGGAUAUUUGAAUAGGAAAAAGGUUGUUUGGAUAUUUGAACAGGAAAUUUUUCUCUUUUUGUUUUUUCGGGAUUCAGCGAGGGCCGUUAGGUACGGGACGCCAGCCAUCACAUACCACCAUGUAAGCUGGCCCCCUGAGCCCCUGAUCUCAUGCGAUGCUCAUCGUUUCAGCGAGCCAAUUCAGAUUGUCUGAUCAGUGAGCAUAGCAUUGCUCAUUUGAAUAAGCUAUUCCAAGACAAGUUGCUUGAUAUAAAGAUUUUUUUUUUUAAUUUUGGUUAUUGGAAUCCAAGAAUAUGAUUCUACCUAUUAGAAUAGAAUAGUAUAAUUCACAUACAAGAGGUGAUUUAUUUGAUUUCGAAAGAGUGCUUUAAUUAUUAACCAAUUACUUCUUUAUACGAAUUCCAUAAACUUCUUAAAUAAAUAAAAAAAUAUAUGUUAAACCAAAAAAAAAAAUAUUGUUACUGCCCAGGAUCGAACUGGGGACCUUCAGUGUGUAAGACUGACGUGAUAACCACUACACCACAGUAACUUGUUGAGCCAAUCUAUUUAUUUAAAAUAUUUAUAAUUUAAUAAACAUUUAUAAGUUACUAUAAACAAAAGUUUUUUUUUCAGCCCAUAGAUUAUGCUCGCCAAUUAAAGCUUAGUUUUUUUUUUUUUUUUUUUUAAUGUUAUUAAAUAAAAUAGAAUUGAGAAAAAAAUAUAUAGAGAUAUGUUUUUGCGUUUUCUGGUGAAACCGUAAAAAAUAUAUCGUAACUGACUCGUCGCGAUAUGCAACGUACUUUCUCACACCGCACGUAAAACGAACCCUAACUUGAACGCUAGGGAUAUGUGCUAAUGCUUGUGUUUAAACAACCCGAAUCGGAUCCGGAUGAUGGAUCAGAGCAAAUGUGUGAGUCAGGGAACGAAGCCCGACCUGGCUCGGUUCCCUGGAUCAGGCUAGAUCCGAAAAGUUGAGAUCCGAUAAAAUCCUUCUUUAGUCUUCGGGUUCAAACCUAAGGCCCGACCCGCAUGAAUUGGGUUCCGACUCGAAUAAGAUUUAACGGGUUAUCAAGUUAACGAGUCCUAGCCACUUUUGGGUUCAUUGCUCCUAUUUGGAGAUGGGGAACCGGUGGCGGAGCGAAGAAGCGCUUCUCCCCUCUCAACCUGCUUUAUUUAUCAUCUUCGCCUUUUUUUUUUUUUUUUUUAAUUUAAUAUAACUCCGAGCUUCUCUUUAGCAGNAAACAUUUAUAAAUAAAUAUAAACAAUUUUUUACUUUGUCUAUAUACCCCCUUUUUAGGACAAUGCGUGUGUUUUUUUUUUUUUUUUUUUUUUUUGUUUUUGUUUUCCAGUUCAUAGAUUACAUUCGCCAAUUCACUCGAACGGUAGGGAUAUGUGCAAAUGCUUGUCUUAAACCACCCGAAUCGGAUCCGGAUGAUAGAUCAGAGCAACUGUGUGAGUGAGGGAACGAAGCCCGACCUGGCUCGGUUCCCUGGAUCAGGCUAGAUCCGCAAAGUUGAGAUCCGAUAAAAUCCUGCUUUAGUCCUUCGGGUUCAAACCUAAGGCUAAAUCGAGGCCCACACGGGCUGGGCAAAUUUAAUCCAUCUCUAGAGGUGCCGGCCCGACCCGCAUGAAUCGGGUUCGGACUCGAAUAAGAUUUAGCGGGUUAACAAGUUAACGAGUUAACGGGUCCAAGCCACUGUUGGGUUCAUUGCUCCUAUUUGGAGAUGGGGAACCGGUGGUGGAGCGAAGAAGCGCUUUUCCCCUCUCAACCUGCUUUAUUUAUCAUCUUCGCUUUUUUGUUUUUUUAAAAAAAAAAUUUUUUUUUUUUAAUAUCACUCCGAGUUUCUCUUAGCAGAGAGAGAGAGAGAGAGAGAGAGGGAGGUUGGAGGGAGAGCGCUUUAAUUUUCGCGCGGCGGAUGGGCUUCGGCCUCGCGCUGGUCCCUACGAGAUGGGCUUCCUCUCCGGUCCGAACCCCCCGACCGGCCGGUUCGGUUUCUUCCGGUUCACAAGACCACCUCCUCCGCUUGACUCCUCUGCGUGAGUCCGCCAACUCCAAGAACCCAAAUUUUUAUCUUGUUUUCCUUCUAAAUUUAUGUUGUGAAAUUCGUGAAAUUGAUGGGUUAUAGUCCUUGCACAAAAAAAAAUGUAGCAAACAUCUAAUAUAUGCUUGGUAAGAUAAGAGAUUAAGAUUAUGACAAUUUAACAUUUUAAUGUUCCAAAGUGAUGAUUGAACUCACGACGUUACGUAACGACGUAAAAUCAAAUCAACCUAGGAACAUAGAGAAUAGUUUUGGAAGGAUUUGCCUUUUACCAUUUGGCUCAAUUGUGACACCGCAAUAGUCCCGCAUCGGAGAGCUCGAGGUUCUGCACCCAGCAUCAACUUAAGUGUGAUUUGGCCGCAACAAGUUGUGAUUGAUUUGUUAUUGACUCUGUAGACCCAGUUUGGGAAUGCAUGGAAUUGUAAAAAGUUCGUCUUAAGAUCGUACAAUUAGUAAACAAUGUCAUUGAUAACCUGUUGGUGUUUAGUUUUGGAUAUAAGGAGCUUGUGAUAAUAGAUUUGCAAUGUUAGUUCAGAUUGAUAACUAAUGUGAUCAUGCAAAUUUCGUCAGAAUAUCGUUUUAUGUUAAUACUACCGGAGGAAAGGGCGAACCUCCGCAGAGCAACUUUUAAAGCAUCUGCGUAUUACUCUACGGCACUUCAAGGCGUCGAUAAUGUAUCUGAUGAUGUGAAAGCAAUGAAGGUCUUCGCUAUAACUGCUGAUAUAAUUCAGAAGCUUUCUUUCUUCUUUAUAUAAGGAACAAAAAAAACGAAAAAUCUGAGAGUUGCGACGAUCUUACAUUUCAGGAGAACAUGGACAGGAACUGCCGGGGUGAAUCUCGUGAUGUAUACGAAACUGUCAAUGUGAUGAAUGAGAAUGUGACUGCUGCUGCUGCUGCAAAAUUGGGAGCAAAAAGCUACUUGCAAUUUAAUUUGUUGAUGGAAAAUCUUCAUGACAUAGAAGAUAUUUUGUCUGGUACUGACANAGAGAGAGAGAGAGAGAGAGAGAGGGUGGAGGGAAAGAGCUUUAAUUUUCGCGCGGCCGAUGGGCUUCGGCCUCGCGCUGGUCCCUACGAGAUGGGCUUCCUCUCCGGUCCGACGCCCUCGACCGGCCGGUUCGGUUUCUUCCGGUUCACAAGACCACCUCCUCCGCUUGACGACUCCGCGUGAGUCCACCAACUCCAAGAGCCCAAUUUUUAUUUUAUUUUCCUUCUAAAUUUAUGUUGUGAAAUUCAUGAAAUUGAUGGGUUAUAGUCCUUAAAAAAAAAAAAAAAAAAUUGUAGCAAACAUCUAAUAUGUGCUUGGUAAGAUAAGAGAUUAGGAUUUUGACAAUUUAACAUUUUAAUGUUCCAAAGUGGUGAUUGAACUCACGACGUUACUUAACGACGUAAAAUCAAAAUCAACCUAGGAACACAGAGAAUAGUUUUGGAAGGAUUUGCCUUCUACCAUUGGCUCAAUUGUGACACCGCAAUAGUCCCGCAUCGGAGAGCUCGAGGUUCUGCACCCAGCAUAUUAGUACUAGCAACUUAAGUGUGAUUUGGCCACAACAAGUUGUUAUUGAUUGGUUAUUGACUCUGUAGACCCAGUUUGGGAAUGCAUGGAAUUGUAAAAAGUUCGUCUUAAGAUCGUGCAAUUAGUAAACAAUGUCAUUGAUAACCUGUUGGUGUUUAGUUUUGGAUAUAAGGAGCUUGUGAUAAUAGAUUUGCAAUGUUAGUUCAGAUUGAUAACUAAUGUGAUCAUGUAAAUUUCGUCAGAAUAUCGUUUUAUGUUAAUACUACCGGAGGAAAGGGCGAACCUCCGCAGAGCAACUUUUAGAGCAUCUGCGUAUUACUCUACGGCACUUCAAGGCGUCGAUAAUGUAUCUGAUGAUGUGAAAGCAAUGAAGGUCUUCGCUAUAACUGCUGAUAUAAUUCAGAAGCUUUCUUUCUUCUUUAUAUAAGGAACAAAAAAAACGAAAAAUCUGAGAGUUGCGACGAUCUUACAUUUCAGGAGAACAUGGACAGGAACUGCCGGGGUGAAUCUCGUGAUGUAUACGAAACUGUCAAUGUGAUGAAUGAGAAUGUGACUGCUGCUGCUGCUGCAAAAUUGGGAGCAAAAAGCUACUUGCAAUUUAAUUUGUUGAUGGAAAAUCUUCAUGACAUAGAAGAUAUUUUGUCUGGUACUGACAUGAUAAUGCUGGAAAGGGAUAUUCUCGUACAUAUAAAGCAGCUCGGAGCUCUGAAAUUGUUUCGUGCAUGUCUCUCCAGGAAUUUCGGUGUAGCGACUACACUGGAAUCAAAUUUCGUAGAGACUUCAUUUGAUGAGCAAAACGAUAGAGUAAUCGUUCGCACUGCGAAAGCUCGAGAGAGGAAGCUCAGAAGAAAAGGAGCGUCAGAAAGGGUUAAAGAAGAAACUACUGCUUCGAUGCCAUCUAGUGUGACCUAUCCAGGGUCGAGAAGUAAAAGAGCUUCAAUUGCACAAAAUGAAUCAAAAAUGUCAGAGGGAGUUAAGGUAGUUUUUGACAUGACACAAGUUCAAUGCCUUGUAAUGAAUAGCGUCAAAGAAAAAUUUACUGGAUUUUGUUAUUUGGCUGUAUAGGAAGUUGCGAGACUUGAAAGAGCCCGCCAAAAACUAGAAGAGCAAAGUGGGCAACCAGCUAGUUACGCCAGAUGGGCAGAAGCAGUUGGAAUUGAUCAAAAAACACUAAAGCAGCGUUUGCAGUUUGGUUGGUUUUGUAGGGAUAAACUUAUAAAAAGUACCCGUUCGUUAGUGAUGUACCUUGCUAAGAAUUACAGAGGAAUGGGGAUUGCGUUUGAAGAUCUUAUACAGGUUUUUCAUGAUGCAUCUUCGUCCUUUCGUUAUUUGUGAAAUUUCUCGUCAUACUCUUCAAUCUGAUUUGAAUUUCAUAUGAAUGUAUUCUAGGCUGGGAAUGUGGGUGUUCUCAAUGGAGCUGAGAGAUUCGACAGCAUGAAGGGUUACAAAUUCUCAACUUAUGUUCGGUACUGGAUUAAAAAAUCAAUAUUAGCGUUGAUAGCACGGCACAAAAGAGGAAUUCAGAUACCUGUAGGCCCUUGUCUUGACUUCAAAAGAUACUGAGUUCAUGUUUGAUUGUUUCGCAUUCAAAAUUAAUAUGCUUUCUCUUGAUUGUUUUAUGAUUGCAUUUGUAGGUGAGAAUGGAGAAUAUGAUUCAGAGAAUACAGAAAGCUAGGAGAGCCUUCCAUAACAAGAGAGGGAGGUACCCACAAGAUGAGGAAACAGCUAAAUUGACCGGUUUAUCAUUAGCUAAUGUAAGAUUAGCUAGGAAGUGCUCUCUUGCUGUUGGUUCAAUUGAUCAAGAGAUUGGUAAUGGAUGGUGCACAAAGUUCGCGGUAAGAUGGCCCUCUUAGGUCUUUCAUUUUCAUAGGCACACACACACACAAAGACGAAAAAAUUACAAAAAACAAGAACCAAAAAAAAAAAAGGAGUAUGCGUCUUUUUGAUUGCUUCUUACCGGAAUGCUGGAUAUCAGUGAAAAAGUCGACUGAAAUCAUCUACAUUUACUGGAAUUUCUUCACUCAUAACACUUCAAUGAGAGACUAAAAAGUUUAAGCUGUCUCUAUGUACAUCUUGGGUGUUCAUUUUCAAUCAUUUUAGCCAUCAAAGGUCUUAUAGAAAUUAACUCUUCUAACUUACAAAGUGGUCGUUUAUUUUAUUUUGUAAGUUAACUCGGAGUUUCGUGACAGGAAGUAACCCCAGAUCAAUCGAUAAAAUCUCCUUACGAGAUCAUCAUUAGGCAACAGAUGAGAGAAAGCCUUUUUCAGCUCCUAGAGAAGCUGCAUCCAAGAGAGAGGGAGGUACUAUUGUUAAGAUAUGGCCUGGUAGAUGGAAUAUGCAAGUGGCUGGACCGCCAUAGUUCGUAUCAUUGUAGUCUUUUCGUUUGCGUCUAAAGAUCAAGUGAGUUCUAAGGUGAUUUGAGUAUGCAGCUUUGUCGAUGAUGCGCAAUAAAGAUUGGACAUAUAUAGAGUCCUUUAAUUGACUUUGAUUACUCUCGUAGCUUUGUGGGAGAUUGUUAGGAUUUUCCAUAUUUUGUGGCCCAAUUAAUCAUAUUUAAUUAGGAUUUGCUAUAGAUAAAGGUCAAUCCUAAUAGAUAUAGAACUGCUUGAUAUGGUAUAUUUUAUCCCUAUCCCAUCUAUUUUAAAUUUAAAUAGAAUCCUAAUCAGACUUUGAUGGGAAGUCGAUCUGGACUCUAUAUAAAGGGGUAUUGGUCCUGCCACCUUCUCAUACGCAUUCUGGUGAAGAAUUACCAUCGGUUCCACACCAUACGGUAGAGUGCCUGAGAUAGGGGGAGAAACUAAAUCACCCAAGUUCGGUUCGUGACUUUCAGAUCGUAGCCGGACUUCCAGCUUCCGCAAGAUUAAUCAAGAAUCUCUUCUUUAUGGCGCUCUGUGAGUUAUCGUAUUUUUAUUUUUGAUCCUGGAUUUGGUAUGUAUUUAUUUUUAUUUAUUUUACAUACCUUGAAUUUCCAUCAUUUGAAUCAUCUAUUUGCUCGUUCCCUGAACAUACUGAAAGAAAGAAAAAUGGCCACAUAGCAUAGCAAACGUCUUUCGGCAUAUACUUCAUACAAAGAAAAAUGUACAAUGUGGUUGCAGUUGUGAUACUCUUUCUGAUAUUCUUUGAAUCAUGUGUAAGUUAAAAAGGAGGCAAUAUUUGUAUAGCGCUGGAACUAAACAGUCCUAGAAGGGUGCAUUUUUUCAAUGUAUACAGAGUGCAAAUAGAGAACUUCGCUGCUUACUUUUAAGUGUUCUUCAAUGAAAAGAUCCAAUGUGGAACUGAGUUCCAAUUGGUCAAUGAGAAUUGAAUUGCAAUAGAUUUGUCUUUAACUCUCAUAAAAGGGUACAGCAUAAACGGAGCUCGAUUUGCACGGACCGAGUCCCAUCGAGCUGAGUGUUGGCCGUGCCUGCGGUCGGAUAUCGAGGGAAUAGGGGACAAAUGCAAUGCAGGCUUGUGAAGGAGAGGCCUUGAUGGCAGUCUCGAAUGAGAUCGAAGACACAUUCAGUAGUGAGGUCCAUCAAGUACUCAAAAAGCGGACAGAAUAACAAAAAAUUGUGCUUGUUUGUUUUCCGGUGGAACCGUAAAAAGUCAUACCUUAGCACUAUAACUUAUGAAAUGAGCAUAAUUUCUUGUUGUCAAAGCAGUUUCCCACCUCACAAGCUUAUAGUCUGCGGUGAAGUACAAAAUUUUACCGAGUUGUAUUUCUCAAGAAGUCGGUGAUGCAACAGUCCCGAACGCCGUCUCCAAUUUUUCUUUUUUUUUUUAACAAUAAUCUCCACCGUUAAUCUCAUCUUUCUUCGUUCCCGAUCCACCGCUGACGAGCUCACGCAAAUCGAGGACACGUCAAAUUUCGUUGACUAAAACGCCCUUGUCCUUGUACUACCAUGCCAUCUACAACUACAACCGACUCCGAACUCAACUCCAUCGUGGCAUAUUCGUCAAUAACUUCCCGGAAAUGGGGCUUUUUGGACAUUUCACACCCAGGGAAAAAAAAUUAGGUUAAUAAUUUCGAGGUGCAGAGGAAACGGAUUAGGCCGUGUGGAUGGAUCCGCGCAUGAGUGCGGCUAGGGUUUUCCGCUCCCUCUCCUCCUUCUCUCCUAUUUCGCCCCCACCCACACUCCAGAACCCUAGCUUUAUCCUUUACCUAGAGAGUUGAGGCUCCUCCCCGGCGAUUCUAGUUGCCAUGGCGAUCCAAUCGUGGAGGCCCCUCUUCUAGGGCUACGGUUUUCGUUCACCCCACCACAAAGCUAAAGCUUAUAAGGUAUAUCUGUGGAGAUGGCCACGAAGAACCCCUUCGAUCUCCUCGGAGACGACGAAAGCGACGAUCCGACGCAGCUGAUCGCCGCUCAGGAGCAGAAGAGCGCAGCAAAGAAGCCCUCUGCGGCGGCGCCUCCUGCGGCGGCGGCGAAGCUUCCCUCCAAGCCGGUCCCUCCCGCCCAAGCUGGUGAGUUGAUGCGAAAUGGUUUGAUCUCUCCGUGUUGUCAUACCCUGAUUGAUCUCUAUGAUAGAUUCAGUUUAAUCCGAGUUGUUUAGUGUGUGCGCUUUGAUGAGAUUUAUGAAUUGCAGAUGUUUAUACUGUUAAAGUUUGGAUUUUUCGCUGCAAAUCUAGUAAUUUCGAAGAAUGUUUCCUUUCUUCUGAUGCAAAAUUUUAUCUUUUUAGAUUUCAUUUUGUUCCUCGGAUUUGUACAGUAAGGGAGGCGAGGAGUAAUACUGCACCAACUCGCGGCGGGCCCGGCCGCGGCGGGCCGGGCCGCGGCAGAGGGGGGCGAGGAGCUGUCGCAGGCCAAAGCCGUGAUUUUGGAAACGGAAAUGGUGGCGGCUACUCCGUUGGCGGCGGCGGCGGCUACUCCGGUGGCGGCGGCGGCGGCGGCAGCGUCUAUUCUGGAGUAGGCGGAGAAGAUGGUGACGUUAGCAGGCCCACCGAGAGGGGCCGUGGCCCUCGUCAGCCUUACCGUGGUGGCCGUCGUGGCGGUUAUGGUAACGAAGGGGAGGCCGCAGAUGAACUGGGUCGGCCGCCGCGUCGAUUGUAUGAUCGCAAGAGUGGCACUGGUCGCGGCUAUGGGAUGAAACGUGAGGGCGCAGGGCGCGGGAACUGGGGAAUCGUGACUGAUGAACCCAUUGCCCAGUUAAGACCCUUUCCAUUUAUUCUUUUAUUCUGGAAAGCUGUGUGCAAGGAAUUGUAUUGGAUUUGAGUUAUGAAGUGAAAGCCUAAUUGAUGUUAUGCUCUGAUGUUUGAUUAAUUAGGGAGGCUGAUGAGACUGUAAACAUCGAAGAGAAGAGUGCUGUGGCUGAGAAAAAGGCUGAGGAAGAUGCCCCUUCCGUGGAGGAUAAGGACAAUAAGGAGGGUGAAUCGAAGGAAGCAGAAGAAAAAGAACAAGAGGAUAAGGUAUUGUUUCUUUGCUUGCCUUGUUUGUUAGAUGCUGAGGUGAUUGUACUUGUUUAUUCAUUUCCAUCCAAGUAAUCAGUAGGCAAAGCUCGAUAAAUUCAAUACUUUUAGAUAUUUACUAUAUUGUUAAAUAUUCAUUCUUUUGCCAUUGUUCUUAUUUGCUUAUGUUGGACAGUUGUAAUCGGCUGAAACUUUUUGUUACUAUUUCUUGCAUCUAAGGUUAUAGAUUUGGACAGUUCUGAAAUGAUUUAGUUGUUAUGUUGCUAUUUUGUUGAGGCGUAAACUAUCAAGGGUUGUUUGUAACAAUUUUUUGAGUUUGUAUGGACUAAUAAAGAUCAUUAUGUGCCUUGACUGCCAAUUAAGCAAAUCAUUAGCAAUCAAAGUUAUACAUUUAGCAAAAUAUAUUGCAGCCAAACCUGCAUUUGGCUUUGCAGAAGUUGUUACGGGACCAUAUUUGUAAGUCUUGUCUUGUGAGUAGUAGAUUCUAAAAAAGUACCUGCAGCAACAUUGUUAUUCUACAAUUUUCCAUCUCUCUCUGAGCUUUCCUUGUUGAACUAAGGAAAUGAAACAACUUUCCAAGGACUUCUGAAGGAAAGGAGUCUUAUUUAUUCAACCUUUCCCAGGGGUUUUUUAAUUAACUUGGAAGUUUAAAUAGGAUUAUUGGAAUAAUUCCUGAAUAUGUGGAUGAAAUGAUUUGAAAGUUUCUAAAAGUGAAAUUAAUAGUUAGCCUCAAUUUGUGCGUGCAUACUCAAACCCAUGCUUCCAAGUUGACUCAUUAGACUCGUUAUGAGUACAUAACAAGCAUUUGAGCUCAGUGUGAUUAGCCUGGGCCUCACUAAGCUAACUUGACAGAAAUCGGAUUACAUCAUUGUUAAAGGACAUUUAGAAAUUUGUGUCGUAGUAUUCGUCAAUUUGGCAGUUGGGUAAAAUUGAUGAUGUUCAAGGCUGAUCCAAUGGGGCUUGCAUGGUGGAAUUUCUACAGAAGUUGCAAGUACUCUAUUUCACCCAGCCUAUAGUUAUUGCUUGGCUUUGUGGCAACAUCAAGGUUUUGGUAUGCUUCCAAGUUGACUCAUUAGACUCGUUAUGAGUACAUUACAAGCAUUUGAGCUCAGUGUGAUUAGCCUGGGCCUCACUAAGCUAACUUGACAGAAAUCGGAUUACAUCAUUGUUAAAGGACAUUUAGAAAUUUGUGUCGUAGUAUUCGUCAAUUUGGCAGUUGGGUAAAAUUGAUGAUGUUCAAGGCUGAUCCAAUGGGGCUUGCAUGGUGGAAUUUCUACAGAAGUUGCAAGUACGCUAUUUCACCCAGCCUAUAGUUAUUGCUUGGCUUUGUGGCAGCAUCAAGGUUUUGGUAUGUUCUUCUUUCGUGUAUCAAUUCAGGAAGUUGCCAUACAUUAACACAUACUAGUGAAAAAUAUUUAUGUGGAUGAAUGUCGGCUGCUAGCUCUCAGCCUUUCAUUUCUUUGUUUUUUAUCUUUUUAUUUUUUUUGUGUAUGUUGGGAGAGCUAUAUGUGAUGUUAUGUGACAAUGGAGAUGUUUGUUGCCUUUUGGUUAACAAUGACUUAUACGUGUAGCAUCAUAGCAUACCUAAUUUUCACUUGAUAGUUUUCAAACUAUUUUUAUUUCUUCUUUGGGGUGGCCUUCUUGGGGUUUGAGUUAUGAAGAGGAUAGUGAUGAAUUUAUGAGUUAAAUUCUUAUGAUGGUUUUUUUCCCCCAUGUUCUGUUCUAACAAUAUUCCCGUCAGAUGUGCUUCUUUUCUAUGAUUAACUUCUUUUCUUUCGCCCUUUUGAGUGGUUAACAUUUUUUUUCCCUAACUUGUUUAUAUAGGAGAUGACUUUAGAUGAGUAUGAGAAAGUAAAGGAGGAGAAGCGAAAAGCCCUACUCGCGCUUAAGGCUGAAGAGAGAAAGGUCGAAAUCGAUAAGGAGUUGCAGUCUAUGCAGCAGCUGUCGUUGAAGAAGGGUAACGAUGAGGUCUUCAUUAUGUUGGUGAGUUCGCUUUUGCAGUUCUCACUUUCUUUCCUGACUGUGUUAAUGGUUUCGAAGGUUCGUCAUGAUUCUUUUCGUGUGAUCUUAUUAGGGCUCAGAGAAGGAGGCUCUGAAAAAGAAAGAAAAUGCUGAACGGGAUGAAAGGGCGAAGAAGGUAUGUCGAAGUUAAUGCCUUCGUCCACUGUUAACUAUAAAAACUGUUAUGAAAAUUCAUAAUUCAAUGAAACACUGAAUACUAAAAUGUCUAAUUCAGUUAUCUGUUUCUGCUUGUCUUACUUUUCUAACAUCAGAAACUGUGAUUGGUGGGUUUGUAUAUCCGUUUCAGUCUCUGAGUAUUAAUGAGUUCUUGAAGCCGGCCGAAGGAGAAAGAUAUUACAGUGCAGGGGGGCGUGGUCGCGGCAGGGGCCGUGGGCCAUUCCGAGGCGGUUUUGGUGGGGGGAGCACGAGAGGCCCAACCGCCGCCCCAUCGAUCGAAGAUCAAGAACAGUUCCCUACACUUAGUGGGAAGUAAAAAGAGAGCGCAAAGUGUUACUUCAAUUAUCUAUCUUUUCACAUUCUAUCACUUCCUAUUUUGUGUCAUGUGGAUUUAAUGCAAUAAUGAGCGCGUCGAAGUUCAUUAUUAUGGUUUUCUCCGCCCGUCUUCACCGUGUACAUUUCAGCAAAGUGUUGUCUACAACAGUGUCUUAUUGUAUGUGUAGGACUCUUUGCGCUGUUAUGUGUUGUUGUUUCUAAUGAUUUUGCUUUGUAAGUUUGCAAAUGUUCACUGGCCCAUUAACAGUGUUUCUUCUGGUGUUAGUUUUUCUCUUUAUUUUACUAAGCUCAUUAGGCUGUAACUGAGCUUCUAACUCGCAAAAGCAAAAUAUAUAAACUUAAAAACCAUUGUGGACAUUACUAGGAGAGAAAAGCAGCUGUUUGUUUAAACAGGGGUACUUUAAAUACCAUUUUUGUGGUUUUGUGCUUUCCCAUUUUAAUAUAUUGUGAUUUAAAAUGUAUUGUCGUAGUAUUUUGUGAUUUUAUUUUUUUUCUUUUGUUAGUGUCUUCAUUAAUUUUUUGUUAAAUUAUGUGCAAAAAAAUCUAGAUAUUUUAUUUGUAAUUAACAAAUAUUCAUUUUAGUAUUUUGUGAUUUAUUGAAUUUUUAAUUUGGUAUUUUGUGGUUUUAAUUUAGUCACUCACGAAAAAAAUUAAUAAAGGAAAUAACGGAAAGAGAUAAAUAAAAUCAUAGGAUACAAAAAUAGUAUAUUUUAAAUUACCGUGGUACUAAAAUAAAAAAUUGUGAAAUUACGGUGGUGUGGUAUUUUAAGUUUUUUCUUUAAACAGCUCUUGCUCUUUGUAUUAUAAACUUAUUAGUCGGAUCAGACACUGCAUAUUUGGCAUUUUUGGAGGAGUUUCAGUAGCUUGUAAUGAUUAACGCAGUUUCAAGUUGGUAUCCCAAAAUCUACGGUACUGCUGUAAUUGGAACCAGGAGGAUGAAAUCAAGUUAAAGUUUAAGCAAUUCUUUACAAUUAACUCAACCGGUUAAAAUUGGGGAAGUUUCUUGCGAUUUUUUUUUCAUUUUUGAUACUCAUUGAUCUAAUUACAUUAAGUCUUUGUUUGGUUAGGGGUCAAGGGAUGGAAUAAUCUCUUAACCUCAUAUUAUUUCCAAACACCUCCAAAAAUUAGUGGGAUUAAUUAAUCCCACCUCAAAUGGGCUAUCCCGGGUUAGCUAACCCCACCUAACCCUAACCAAAUAUUAUUUUCUAUUCAUAAUAACCCUCUUUUUUUCUUAUCUCAUUUACUCCAAUUAAACACUAUUUUUUACUAUUCUGAGCUAACUUUAAUCCCCAACCAAAUACAAAAAUACUCUAAUUUCAUCUUAAUUCUGAAUUUAACUCUAUUUCUGAAAUAAUUAAUUUUUUUUUACUUCCGAAUCGAGCGGUAGCUUAAAAAAUAGAAAACGAAAAAGAAAAUAGUAGAGUAGGAUUGCUAGGCCGGCACCAGGAUCAAAACGCAUUCAAAGGUUACAUCACCCAUCAAUUCUCAUAAAUUAUUGUUACCCCUNCUGCUGUAAUUGGAACCAGGAGGAUGAAAUCAAGUUAAAGCUUAAGCAAUUCUUUACAAUUAACUCAACCGGUUAAAAUUGGGGAAGUUUCUUGCGAUUUUUUUUUCAUUUUUGAUACUCAUUGAUCUAAUUACAUUAAGCUUUUGUUUGUUGGGAGUUAAGGGGUGGAAUAACCUCUUAACCCUCAUAUUAUUUCCAAACACUUCUAAAAAUAUAUAGGGUUAGCUAAUCCCAUCUCAAAUGGGUUAUUCCGGAUUAGCUAAUCCUACCUAACCCCAACCAAACACUAUUUUCUAUUCAUAAUAACCCACUAUUCUUCUUAUCCCACCUAUUUUAACCAAACACUAUUUUUCACUAUCGUGGACUAACUCCAACCCCCAACGAAACACAAAAAUAUUUUAAUCCCAUCUUAAUUCUGAAUUUAAUCCUAUUUCUAGAAUAGAUAGUUUUUUCAAAUAGAUAGUUUUUUUUUAAUCCUAAAUCAUACGGUAGCUAAAAAAAUAGAAAAGGAAAAAGAAAAUAGUAGAGUAGGAUUGCUAGGCCGGCACCAGGAUCCAAACGCAUUCAAAGGUUACAUCACCCAUCAAUUCUCAUAAAUUAUUAUUACCNUUAAGCAAUUCUUUACAAUUAACUCAACCGGUUAAAAUUGGGGAAGUUUCUUGCGAUUUUUUUUUCAUUUUUGAUACUCAUUGAUCUAAUUACAUUAAGUCUUUGUUUGGUUAGGGGUCAAGGGAUGGAAUAAUCUCUUAACCUCAUAUUAUUUCCAAACACCUCCAAAAAUUAGUGGGAUUAAUUAAUCCCACCUCAAAUGGGCUAUCCCGGGUUAGCUAACCCCACCUAACCCUAACCAAAUAUUAUUUUCUAUUCAUAAUAACCCUCUUUUUUUCUUAUCUCAUUUACUCCAAUUAAACACUAUUUUUUACUAUUCUGAGCUAACUUUAAUCCCCAACCAAAUACAAAAAUACUCUAAUUUCAUCUUAAUUCUGAAUUUAACUCUAUUUCUGAAAUAAUUAAUUUUUUUUUACUUCCGAAUCGAGCGGUAGCUUAAAAAAUAGAAAACGAAAAAGAAAAUAGUAGAGUAGGAUUGCUAGGCCGGCACCAGGAUCAAAACGCAUUCAAAGGUUACAUCACCCAUCAAUUCUCAUAAAUUAUUGUUACCCCUCUCUCUCUCUCUCUCUCUCUCUCUCUCUCUAUAUAUAUAUAUAUAUAUAUAUAUCACAUGCACACAUUUGAUAUGAUGCUCUGAUUAGUCGUUUGACAUGAUGGAUCAGAGCCCAACAAGAGUCCUUUUCCCAGGACGGAAUCUGUCGUGCUCAGAGAGAAAGUGUCAGUAUUUUGACUUGUGCCAUCACAUCUCCCUCCAGAUUAGGCUAGACACGUGUAAGUUCUGAAUCUGACAUUAUUUUGCAAACAUAGAAAUCAUUUAAUUUUACUGUCAGGCAUCUCACCCUUCUACCCAGGUCAACUGAAAAUUACGAAUUCGUAUGCUGCUUGUGAGUUAGUUUCUACUUUGAUUUGACCCAGUGAAGUUUCUGUAAAAAAAAAAAUUACUAUUUCAAUUAAACUUUUUAAAUAAAUCAUAAGUAUAUGUUUCAAUAAAAAAAUAUCCUCUGCUUUGUUCUCGAAUUGUCCAAUUAAAGAAGCUGGUGUUAAGUCCUAACAACUGCUUCUCGAAUUCAAAAACCUGCUAAGUUUCAGAUUAGAAGACUGAUGAUUUUCUUCUUAUCUGUCAGAAUCAGAUUCUGCUGUUCCCAGUCUCUCCACUAUAAGCAAUGCGAUUGAUUUCUUCCAUUAUUUACAACAGCAAGUGACCGGAGAAAUCCCGAGAAGAUCUAAACUUUUGAUCGAAUAAAUCAUGCACAAAACAGCAUUAAUCCCUCAAUUCAUUAACUGCUGAAAACAAUAAAAUUUCCACUGUACAUAAAAGCAUUACCGUAUAAUAGCAAAAGAUAUUGCAGGGGGAAAAAGCAGCACUAGAUAAAAAAGAGGAAAUAAGAGACAUGACAAAGAUGAUGAAAGAGUUUGAGAAAAGAGAGGAGAAUACACAGUGGAUGAGCAUUCUAUCCAAGAUUAUGUUUAACAUCUUCGCGCGAGGCUCUCCCUCUCUCUAUCCCAAGCCGCUCUUAAAGCUUCAUAAGAGUGCUUUGAAUCUGAGAUAUUGCUGCUCUCUUUGAUCUUCGGCUGAUCAGUCAAUAUUCUCCGACUCCUGUUUCCGUGGUCGUAUCGAGGUGUCGAAAUGUAGCCAGAAUCCAUUAACAUAUCGCCCUCCAAUAUUCGUAGAACCUAUUCAGAUAACAGCAAAAUUGAUAUCAGAAAGUUACACAGUAAAUAAAACAAAUACUUACUGUUUUCAGUUGAAGGAUAACAUCUAUUCUCGUGGAUUUUCUUGUUUUUUGGUUAUGACUAACAUUCACUUUACUACAACAUUGACGUUCACAGAAAAUUACCACAGACGAAUUAAGCGCUCCAGGCAAAAGUAAGUGCAAGUUAAGGGAGGUGUGUUUGAGAAAGAAAAGGUCAAUGCAUUUUUCUAAAGCUGACUCGUGUGAGAUUGUUGUCCAAUAUGGUGGUAAAAUUUGCAAACAUUAAAAUUAGACUUACCUGAGACAUACGAGGCCUCGCAUGCGGAUCACGUCUAAUACACAAAGAUGCUGCGUGCAACAUGCAAUAGACCUCCUCUUCACAGUAGAGGUGUCCCAGACGAGGAUCGAUGAGCUUAUCAAUUGCAUAUUCCUCGAGUAAUGGUCGAGCCUGUUACAAGCAAAGAAAUUGACAAUUAAAUUACGGACUUUUUUUUAAGAAAGUGAAGCGUAAAAAUUUCACACAUUAAGAAAGUGAAGCUUAAAAAUUUCACACAUUUCUUGACCUACAGGAUUGGGCAAGUUCACCAAUUCUAUCUUUUUGGAAAAAAACAAAAAGCUAAAUGCUUUCUUAAGGGAUAAUCAGAAUGAUGUCCUGAGAUUAUGGAAACUUACCCAUUCAGUAAGGCAUUGCUGACCCUUUGGUCGGUUUAUGUCGAUGGCUUUGCGUCCCGUGACAAGCUCUACGAGUACCACUCCAAAUGAAUAGACAUCAGCCUUUUCCGUGAUUUGCCCACUUUGGGCAUAUUCAGGUGCCAAAUACCUACAGAUCAAAUUAGCCUUAAUUUAGAACUCCUCCAUUUCCUCCAACAAGAUUUAAAGAAGCAUUAGUUUAAUUCUGGGUUACCCAAAUGUGCCGAUCACUCGUGUUUCAACACCCAAGUCUCCAUCAGGCUGCCAUCUUGCCAAUCCGAAAUCACCUACCUUUAGAAUACCAUAAUAUAAGUCAGAAAGCAUGAAAAAUCACCAUCCAAGCACUUCCUUCUGAAAUUAUAAAACGAAUCCAUCCUUUCAUUGAAAAAUAAUUGUGGGAAUAUAAUUGUGUUCAAGACAAAUGUGCAGUUAUGCGCAAAAAUUGAUCGUAGGUUAUUGUGCGUUUACCAUCGCAAAUGAUAGCCCAUAGUUCCUACUCUCUUGACUAAACUUCCGAAGAUUAUACAUACUACUAUAUGGAACAUCUUAUUUGCUCUUGGCAUUCUAUCGACUUUCCAAAGACUCAAUAAAACAUCCUGCUAAUGAGUAUAGACACAUGGAAAAGCCAAACCAUUCACAGUAGUUGUACACAUGUCCAAGGGAAACAUAGAAGCGUCAUCGAGAUUACUAGUUACUCAACAGAAUCUUUGCAACAGUACAAAUCAAAUAUAACGUAAAAUGGAAGAAAAAAAUUAUAACUGGAAUUAGAGAUAGGAAGAGUGAGAAAAUCAAAUGAAUGAUGCCUUGAGUGAUAGAGUACGGAAGGUAGGUAAACCUCCAGGCUAGGCAGAACGGUUUGGACUUAUUUCAGCAUGGCCGAUGGAUUUUUAUUUUUUAAGAUAAUCUAAAUAUUAUCAUACACCAAAUAUACAGGUAAACAAACUUAAGAAAUUUUAGUUGUAGAUAUGCCAGAAAAAAAUGAUGAGUGACAAGAACGCUGUGCCCCAAAAGGAAAAAGGGCGUACCAGUGGUUCAAAAUCAUGAGUAACAAGAAUGUUGUUCGGCCUCAUAUCACGAUGAACAAUGCAACCCACUCUACACUCUUCGUGAAGGUAUCGCAACCCUCGGGCAGCCCCAACUGCAAUCUUUUGCCGUGCAGCCCAUUCCAGUGGCUCUCUAUUACGUCCUACCAAACAUUCAAUUAUUGUAAAGAGAAAUCAUCACCACUGUAACAGAUUAAUUACACUGAAGGGCCAAGAACACUACGAACUAAAAAGUGAAAAAAAAAAAAAGGUACCAUAAAGAUGAGAAUCCAGUGAUCCGUUGCAGAUGUACUCAUAAACCAGCAAUCUCCUCUUGUCCUCAACACAAAAUCCAAUCAGCAUUACAACAUUGCGAUGCUGCGCGCAGCUCAGAACUUCCACUUCCGAGCAGAACUCAAGAUCACCCUGGGAACUGGCAAGUUUAUGUUGCUUAACUGCGAUUGCCUGGCCAUCAGGCAAGACCCCCCUAUGGACGGAACCGAAUCCACCCUCGGCCAAGAAAUUGGCUUUCGAGAAGCCAUUUGUAGCAAGCUCAAGUUCAGAGUAGGUAAACCACCUCGGAGGUUUUCCAAACACAGGUGCUUUGUGCUGACACACCGAACAUAAAGGAGGUGGUCCUGGAGGGGCAGUUCUAGAUAAGGAAACUGCCUCCCUAACAUUUCCUCUGAAGCUCAAAUCCGAUCUGCUGCUUAUGGUGCCAAUAUCUGCCCCUGUAUCAAGUUUGGUAAAUUUCUCAAGAAGUGCUUUUGCCGAUGAAGUGCGGGCACAUAGAAUCCCCGCCAUCCAGGGCUGGAACUCUAAGGUUGUCGGAGGGCUUAAACUUUCAGCGUCAGAAUCAGAGAUAUUAGCAUCUAUAUUCAGCACUUCGUCCUUGGCUGCUUGCCCCUCUUUCUUUAAAGAUCGGUUAGUUUCAGACACACAAAAAGGUGAAGUCCCCGGAUCUGAGCUAGAGACAGAGGAUGUCCCGGCUUCCGUACCAGUAAAAGGAGUAUCUGUUUCGGGGCUGCUGUUUGGCGUUACAGCUGGCCCCCUAAUGGAGUUGCGAGGCUCUCGUAUGUCCUUUGUGGCCUUACCCAUUUCACCAUUUAACUCGGGCACCGAGGGACAAGACAACUGCGACUGUUUCUCGGGAACUAAAUUCAACCGAAGAACUUUGGGUUGUGAGCGCUUCAUAACUACAAUAUUGCAUCGUAGCUCUUCCAUGCAUCGCUUUUCUUCGUUCUUCAAAUCCCUGUGCACCAUUACAACUAUACAUUCGAUCAAGGAUUUCAAAGGACAAAAAGAAAGGGGCAUAAAAUUUAAACAUUGGAUAAAAAACAAGAAAAAGACUAGUGUGGAAGACGAAUAAAGAUUUAAUAUCUUAGGAGAAAAGCCUAGUUUCUCCAAAGAGUUACAGCAGAGGCAAGCCAUACUUGUCCAGUACGACCCAGUUUGCUUGAGCUCGCGUGGAUUCAGCAGCCACUGAUCCAGAAGGUGAUCCAGAAACAACCUUUAUCUUCACAUUUAUCUGCAAUAAAGUGGAGACAUUGUGGACAGCAAGUUAGAUAAGAUCAGUGCGCAGGACAAAGAACCGACUUUCAUAGUGACCUUUAUAUAUAUAGAGCUGUUGAAAGACAAUGGAAUUCUAAUUAGAUAAGAGAAAAUCCAAAUAGAUCGAGGAAACCAGCAAUUUAAAAUGUUAACCUUAUUUGGAUCAUAGAUAUUGUGGAGUUGAAGCAUCAUUUGCGAACAAGAUUCUGUGAUAUCAGACUUUUGCUCCAGAGUAGUAACAGAGUUUGACUUCUUGUGACCGCUCGCACAGUCCCCUGCAAAUCUCGGAAAUCCCCAUAAAUUUCUACCUGAAAAAUGAAAAUAAAACUAUAUUAGAUCAUAAUUGCCGCGAAGAACUAGAAAAUGUGUCAAAAUAGCAGCAACAAGCAGGCAACAAGAGUCAAGAACACUUAUGAGUCAGAUCAAAGUAAUACUAAUCUAUAAUGUCAAGUAAUCUACAAGGGAACAGCAAACAAUGCAGUCACAGACAUGCCAUUUGAGUAAAAAUCCAAACUUAAGCAAGUAAUCAAGCAAUUUAAGACCCGAAUCCUGCUCCUAAAGUGCAUGAACAAAGACAAAGAAAGGGCCUCAAACUGAACAGAGCAACACCACUGCUCAUGAGGUAUAUUCAAUGUAUAUCCAAAUGAACCACAAGAUCAAAUAUCAGAGUAGCUGUAGAAAGCCCAACAAAAAUUGCUACAAACAAGCAGCCGAAGCACGAACAAAGGCAGGCAACAGUAUUCGAGAGGUCGGCGAAACAUCACCAGAACUGUGCGGCGGAACCACAACCAGAAGGGUGAUACAGUCGCCGGGCUGAACCACAUGCGUUAGAGCCCACACGAGCGCCGUCCUCGAGAUUUCCUUCGACGCCUUCACCGCGACCACCACCUUCUCCUUCGACGAUUCGGCGCCGCCCUUAUGCCCCUUCCCCCGCUUCAGCUGCUGCUGCUGCUGUUGCGUAGAACUCAUCGCUCCUUCCCAAAUCCAAACUCCCCCCACAAAAAAAAAAAAACACCAACUUUGCGAAUAGCUCUCUAGCUUUACGACCACACUAGAGUUUCAGAGCAAAUGUAGAUACAAGCAUGAUGAUUCAGAGCCAAGUGUUGUCGCUAACGCUGUUUAUAGCACUCACGGUGGGGUGGAAAAGACCCCUGCUUCAACCUGCACAGAGGAAACAGGCAAAACGCAUUUACUCCAACAACCCAAUUACAAUGACCCUUCUGAAUCCUUUCUCCUCCUCUUUUAUUAAACCCAAUUCUCAAUUUGACCUCUAGAGCAGGGGGAAAAAACAAGGGCUCAUUUUUUUUUACUUACCUUGAUCAAAAGCUUUACUAGUGCCCAAUUCUCAAAGGUCGAAGCUUUUUGAGGUGUCGUUGGUUUCCGGGAAGAGGCUCCUCUCUUUAUAUUAUACUUGUGAUGAAAUGAACACAGGAGGAGGAGCAAACUAUGAGAUAAUAGGAGGGACCGAGCGCACUGUUCUCGUGAAUGUACCGGGACUGUUGAAGGAAAACGACAGAGGCGAGAACGGGUCAGCUUCUACAGUAACGAGCUCGUUUUGAAGCACGAUAAAAGUUAGCCUAGGGUUUCAGAAAAGAAAAAAAAAAAAACCCUAGAAAUAUUCGAAACUGGAAGAAGACAACGCCCGAGAGGUCGAAGGAGACGCGCGGUGGAGCAAACCCCCCCCUCCCCUCCCACGGAAGCUUCGAUUGAUCAAAGCGCAACGAUUUGACAAUAGAACCCUGGUAAUAAAGCUAAAAAUCAGGAGAUUCUUUGCCAAAGCCGGACCAAAAAUUCCUCAAAAUUGCUAACCUACCACCCUCGAACACCUUCCCAAAAUCGAUUUUUUUUCCCCCUCUUUUUCAAAAUCUAAAAGUCGAGCUCGGAAAACACAAAAUCGCAUCCAAAUCCGUCUCCAAAACCACCAUUUUCGAACCAAUCCAAACACCGAACGAAGAACGAAGGAAGCGCGAAUUCGAACAGAGUUCAAAACGACGCAGCAACGGCGCUCGAUCUCAGGCCCCUCCCCCGGAUUCGAAAGCCGUAACCCUAACCCUAAUCCCCCCUCAAAAAGGGAACAAUCGACGCACCUCCAUGAGCACCAACGCGAGCGCAAUUAAUCCCUCCUCCCUCCUCACCACUCCCCCGAACGAGCGCUAUUACUGCGGAUCGCCGUCGCACAGCUCGCCAUUCGCAAACGCCCCUCCACAUCCACUUUAUUACGAAAACGCCACCAACGUAUUAAAUGGCCACCCCCUACUUCCUCUCGGUUAAUCGAUCCCCACCGUUCGUGCGUUCCACCCCCACAUCCUCUGGUCCACGACGCUAAUUAUUGAGGAUCCGGAUCACCAGCCGUCCGUAUCUCCGGUCGGACGGUCCUGAUUUCGUACAGCAGUCGCCAUGUCGAUGUCGAGAGCUUUAUACGGCUCUCAUUUUCCAAAAAAAAAAAAAAGAGGUUUAUAAUUAUACGUCUCUAUCGGUGAUCAGACGGUCCAGAUAAGGUACACCUGGCAAUUGGCGCCACCCGGUCCACGAAGAUGGACCACGGGGAGUGGAUUAGGGUGAAAAAGUAUGACUUGUCCUUGCACUAUCUGACUAUCGCGGAUCGAUCCUGGACCUUUUUUUCAAUAAUUAUUUUUACAGAGAAAUUAAAGUUAUUUUAUGGUACAAAAAUAUUAUUUCAUUAUUUAUAUUAAAAAAUAAUUAUUACUUUUUAGUGUAAUUGUUGGUUCUUCAGCAGUUGACCAAGAGAUCAGAAUUAGAUCAUGUGCUUAUAAAAAAGCAAACACUCCCAUUUUCCCUAUUUUCUUUUUUUUUUUCAAAUAGAAAAAAUCACGUAUUGAAAUAAAAAUACGUGGAUGGGGUUAGGAAAUGGGGAUAGUACGGGGACUCUUUAUACAUUUUACCACCGCAGUUAAUCACGUCGUCAAUAGAUGCCCGUAUUUGAUCGGACGGUCGAAAAUUUGGGGUUGGGUACGAUACUGGGGGAGGGGGAGGAUCACGUGCGAGGUGGGGAGUAGCGGUUACGUUGGACAGGGAGUGGAACAGGCGCUGCGGAUCAGAAGAUCAGAGUCGUCAGAUAUAUUGGCGGUAAAUGGCGUCGUCUCGCUACUACGAGCUCAUCAGAGGCUGACACGUACUCGAUUGCAAUUUGGUACCAUUUCAUCUCCAAGUGGAUUACACUACAUAACCAUGACAAAGUGGGAAGCGAAACGCAUUCGUUACAGCAAGGGGAAACGGCUCUCUCUCUCUCUCCCUUUAGAAUAAGGUUAGUAUAUCUAAUGUUAAAUUCGAGUUUUUUGUCAUUAUUUUUUAUAAAAUUUUUAUUUUUAAUUAUUUAUUUUUAGACUACUUGUUUGAUAUAUAAAUAAUAUCAAAAAAUUAUAAAUUUUAAUUUUUAAAUAUUUUUAAUAGCAUAAUUAUAUUUAACGGAGUUAAUCGUCGAUACAGAAGUCGUAUCAUUCAAAAUAAAUUUACAGCACCAAAAUCGUUGUGCUACUAAUAGUAUAAUAGUUUCAUUACUUCCGUUAUUUGUUUUGAUGUAAGUGAAAAACAUAAUAUAACUCAAGUUACGUUAGAGCUCCACUUCACCUACUCUCGACUUCCUCCUCUAAAGUGCCGAACUUGGCUUUCAGUACACUCAGCCUCCUCUAAAAAAUUUAUUAAACAGUAAAACCUAAACUCUACUUCCUUUAUAAUGGUUUAGAAUUACCUUAUUUAUAAUAAAUUAGGAUUAUCUUUAAAUAAUAAUAAAAAAAUUAAUUAUAUAAUAGAUUAAAUUUUAUAGUGGUAAAUUUACUACUAUUUAGGAGAUAAUAAGAUCCACUUACUUACAUCAAAACAAACAACGGAACUUAAAAAACUAAUUUUACGAGCACCAAGUUACAUCAAAACAAACAACAAAAGUGAUUGAAUUUAACUUUCAGACGGUACAAAUUACGUCAAAAUAAAUAAAAAAAAAUUAAUCACACUUCAGAGAAAUUUAAACACCACUAUAUUUGACUUACGUUGAAUCUACAAAUACGUCAAUCCAUACCCCCCCUUAGAUUUU
rnacentral:lncRNA from 1 species